CAGGCACCUCAAGGCGAACCCAGAGUACCAGGUGUACCCCAUCUUCAAGUACUUCGAGAACUGGUGCCAGGAUGAGAACAGGCACGGUGACUUCUUCUCUGCCCUGCUAAAGGCUCAGCCGCAGUUCCUCAAUGACUGGAAGGCCAAGCUCUGGUCACGGUUCUUCUGCCUCUCGGUAAUUUCAGUCUAUUCCUUCAUUAAAGGUGGGUUAACUCUGUAAGUUGUUGUUCUCCCCCUUCUGACGAUAGUGGUAUAUGACCUUCUGCAGGUGUAUGUGACCAUGUACCUAAAUGACUGCCAACGCACUGCAUUCUAUGAGGGAAUUGGUUUGGACACCAAGGAAUUUGACAUGCAUGUGAUCAUUGAGGUGAAAAUGAGCUGUCUUUUCUUAACAGUGCCAUCGUAUCUGCAUUUUAGUUGUCACUUAGGCACUUACACUUACUGUGUUUCAGAUAAUUCUGAACAACUGCUGAACAUGGAAAUAAGGUCCUUGUAAAAUAUUAAAGAAAACACAUGAACCUUGUUUGAUUGUUUCAGCUCUAGUGAGAAUUUAUGAAUUACUUCAGAACUUGUGAUAUAAAUCAAGGCCAUUGCUGAUAAUGUAAUGUCUGCCUAUCUCUGCAGACCAACCGCACAACAGCAAGGAUCUUCCCUGCUGUUCUGGACGUCGAGAACCCUGAAUUCAAGAGGAAGCUUGACAGGAUGGUUGAGAUCAACCAGAAGAUCAUUGCUAUCGGAGAAUCUGAUGAAAUGCCCCUAGUGAAGAACCUGAAGAGGAUUCCUCUUGUUGCUGCGCUGGUGUCUGAGAUCAUUGCUGCCUACCUCAUGCCCCCCAUUGAGUCAGGCUCAGUCGAUUUUGCUGAAUUUGAGCCCCAGCUUGUUUACUGAUUCUGUAGAAAGAUUUAAUCCGAAUUACUUUCCCCAAAAGACAAGUUGGUGCUUUCUCCCUGAGGGGCUUUGAAUGGUGAAACGCUGGAUGGUUAAAAGGACCUGCAUCUUCUUGUGUUUGUCUGUAAAAUAUUGAGACUUCGGCAACAUAAGGCUCGGCAAGCUUUUGUUGUGAGGCAUCUCCAUGUAAGUGACAGUGAACUGCAUCAGAAGUGAGCGUUCCGGUUUUCCAGCAGAAGGGAGCGUCUGAAGCUGUACUGAUAUUGAAGCUAAUGGCAUACAGAUCAUUAGCUAAAGUCCAUUGUAUUGUAUCACAUAUGAUCUUGGUGAAAUUAGUUGCAGCUUCUAUUCGCGUACAUGUGAAUUUGGAACUGUAAGGGUGAUAAACGGACCAAGCAGGAUUGGCUGAUUGUGUAACAAUAGAAAAUUAUGUAACGCAUUUGGCUAUGAGGCUAAUACCAUGUGAAUUUUUACAUAUUUCUUUUUAGCAACCUUCUACAAUGUACGUGGCAAUGUUUAGAUGCAUUUAUAAGAACCUCAUGUAACAUUGUCAUUAUUAGAGUAGAUUUGAUCAUCUCAUAGGGGAGAUCCCCAUCCACCUCCCCCUUUCAUUUGUUCUCCAAGAUUCACGUAGAACCACCCAUUUGCAUUUUUACAGUUCCGCACUUUAUUUUUUAAAACAAACACACACAUACAUAUAUUGGCAAAACAGCUUUUUUUUCUUCUACAAAUUAUGCGGAUAUGUUUACAGGGGAAAAGAAAUAAAACCUCAAGAAUCGGUACACGAUACUAUAACAUAAAUGGUGAAGUACUCAAAAUUUUCCCAUCCCAGACCAAUUAUUUAUUGUCUCGAAGCUAAUAUAUAUCAUCAAAGCGCUUGCAAUUUUUUUGGCCAUAAGAAACUAUAUAAAAGAAAAUGGAAACUCGUCACUCUUUUUGUUGGCUUCUAAACACAAUCAGCUCACACUGGAAACUUAAAGAACUGAGGUGUGUAGCUUCAACAUGAAAAAUUCCAGCAAAUAAAAAUUUAUACAAAUUAAACAUGAUUCGAAACCUAAACCCUAACAAAAAGGAAAGAGGACAAUAAUAGAAGGGAAAAGAAAAACUCUCCCAACCCGAACAGAAUGGCAAGAUCCCGUGGAGCACAAGAGCGGAGAGCCUGUUAUUUGUACAGGGGCCUAUACGCAAAAUUGCCCUCCCUCCCCCACGGCCGUCCCUUGUGUUCCCAUCGAGCCCAUCUCUCCGCCUCUCCGCAAGGUGCAAGGGCGCAAAGACGCAAACCCCUCGUUCCCCAGAAACCCUAGCCCUCCAUCCCCGCGCUCGCCGAGUCCCUCGCCGCCGCCAUGGGCUCCGGUAAGCGCGCAUCCUCCGAUUAGCGCUCUUAGGUUUUCCUACUCUCGAUUUGGUGAAACUCUGAUCGCGGGUGCUCCUGGUGGUGAUUGAUUAGAUGCGGACAUGGAGGACUACGGGUUCGAGUACUCGGACGAGGAGCCGGAGGAGCAGGACGUCGACAUCGAGAACCAGUACUACAACUCCAAAGGUUCGACCUCCUUCUCCUCGUUGCGAAUCGGGUGAUUCUCAGAAACGACCGCGGCCGGAUUAUCUGCUAGUUGUAUACUUGUUGCGCAUACGCAUUCUCCGACGGUACUGGGCUUGAGUUCUGAUGGAUGGAUACCACUUUUGUUAAGUGUGCUUGCCAAUCUAGCUGUGCCUCUGUUCCUUGGUGAGUGAAGUUCAAUAUGAGGAGGCAUGUUUACAUUGCCAUCUGCCGCAGGGAAUAAACAAGUUAAAUUGUUAGUGAAGGACGUCAGCAGGUUGUCCAGUUUUUGCGUUUAUUCUUGUUUUGAGUUUUCUUUCUAUGGCGGCAUGGUGGCAACUGUGACAAGGAGGCGUUGCCGCUCUGUGGCAGCUAGCUGAGCAACCCUUGCUCGAUGUUAGCCCUAUUGCCUCCUCUGUAACCGAAAAUUAAAGUUUGGUUCGUGCAGAAUUUUCCUUUACAACUAAAGAAAGGUGACACACAGGAAUACCGAUUACCAAAUAGGCAAAUACGUUACAUCUUUUCUAUUUGUUACCAAAAAUCAGUGUCACCUUUGGUGUUAGUUGGGCAGCUGGCCUGGCACCUAAUUGGAUAUAGGUCGGCAGAGGUGUCCUUCUAGUAGGGAUAAAUUGGCUAGGUGUCAGAGGGGGGUGGUGUCGCCUAGUGCCUGGGCAGGCUUGGCAGCUGCCUGGGGGAACAUUGCUAGAAGUCAAAACCGCUUUUUAGACAUGAAUGCAACGUGGUUUCAUGCAAAAUUUUAAGCUUGAGAAGGAUUAAAUGAGAACACCAAUUUGAAUUAUCAGUGCUUUAAUUAGUUUAGUCCAUUUCAGAAUUUUUCACAUGCUUCAUGCUUUCAUCUAGUUAUUUUUGCAUCCGGUUUAUUGGUAAGUUAAUUCAUCUGCUACACAGAACAUUCUAGAAUAGAAAGAUAAAUAUAUCCGGUUCCUCUUUAAUGUUGGAAGUCGUUCUUCUCUUCCCUUCAAUUUAGUCAAGGAUUCUUGGAUUUGCCUUUUACUGAUUCAAGGAUCAUUAAUGUGUGACUACACCUUCAAUGCAAAUGACGUGCCACUAAUCUCACUAGUUCUUUGUAUAUGCAAGAUUCCUUGUCAGCAUAUACCUCAGUUUUUCCUUAUUUUCCACAUAAAGUGUCACAUCGCUGUAAAUAUCAUAUUCUAUGGGUUUUUUUAACCAUAACAAUACAUUAUAUGAAGAUUGAAGAAGUCAAAACCCUACAUUUUUUACGGUUUCUUGUAACAUUGAAUUUAAUCUGCAGAUGAAUUUCCUCAAAAUGUAUAACAGAAACAUUCUUUAGAAGUCAAUCAAUUUUUUUAUUAUAUAGACUUAUUGGAUUGGUUUUAUCUGUAUGUUUUGUAUGAGCCCAAUAAGUCUCUUACAUCUGCAGCACCUAAAUGUUAGGUAUGUGCAGUUAGUCCUGCCUCUUUUAGUUCAUGGAACAGUAGCUAUUCUUUGAUCUGUGUGAUGGAAUCAGACUGAGGCAUGCAUAGAUUUGGUGCUUAAAGGACAACAAAAUUGUAAACCCAAUUGUAAAUGCUAUUACUACCUUUCUGCAGGUAUGGUUGAGACAGACCCAGAGGGUGCACUUGCUGGUUUUGAUCAAGUAGUCAAAAUGGAGCCAGAAAAGGCUGAAUGGUAAAUGUUAAUUCAAUCUAUUCAACAUUCACUAUUCUGUUUCAUUUGCUUUUGGUGUUCUGGGGCAAUAUUGAUCAUCUUGGUGAAUACUGAGUAAGCCCAAUCUAAUGUAGGAUCGGAUUUAGGAACUCAAAAUCUCAAAUGUUCACAUACUGAUAUGUUUUGGAUACUUAUAUAUGCAAACUGCUGCUCACUAAUUAUUAUUUACUUUGGUCCUGUGUCUGAAGUUUAGGAUCUAAGGUGAGCCAUAGGAAAAAGUUUAUGUCUUUAUAUGAUCUUGCCAGGAUGUCUCCAAUGUAUCUUGCGGCCCAAAAUAAUAUUUAGCAAUACGGAGUGCUGACUAUUCCUGCCUCAUGACUUUAGUGGUCGUUGCAAUUUCCAUGAUGAAGAAUGUAAAUCUCGAAAUACAUGUAACCUGAAUGGUGUGACCUGUAUUUGCCUGUGCACAUGUUAUUGUAGAAUAAUAAAUUACUAGGCUGGAUGGACUGAUGAACCAGAUAACUGGCCAAGACAACAAGAUUUAAACCUGUUUUUAACUCGUAUUUGUAUUGAGUUGGAUUUCAUUUAUGUCAGUUGCGGGCCUUUUUUUAUCAGUUUAGGCUGCCUCAAGCUUUUUAACAUUGGUUGCAUGAAAAAAUAUCUCCAUAGCACGAAAGAAAAAAGAGGGGGAAAGAAAAAGAAAGGCUGAAACGUAGAAACAAACUUGAGGUUGCUUAGUUGCCAGUGGAACCCUGAUAAAAUAAUGAAGGAUUAUAAAUUUGUCUGAUUGGCAAAAUAUCUUAAUUGCUUAUUUACCAACUGCCUGAAUUUGGCCCCUCUGUUUCAAGUUUCAACAUGUUCCACCCUGGUAUCGGGUAAACUUUGGUCAAAACAUGAUUCAUGAACAUUACUGUGUGUUGCACCUUGUCUAGUGAAGUUAAAAAUGUCAAUUCUUUAACCUCAGUGGCUACUUUAUAUCUGUAUAACUAAACAGUCACACUUUCUUCAGCCACAGUUUUUCUUUUGUGAAAUUAAUUGUAUUUAUUGUUAUUCUACCAUCAUUUUUGUUAUCCUUGCACUUCUUAUGCUUUACCCUGUAACUUUGUCUUUGUAGGGGAUUUAAGGCUCUCAAACAAACUGUCAAGCUUUACUAUAAGCUGGUGAAAUACAAAGAAAUGAUGGAUGCCUACAGGGAGAUGUUAACAUACAUAAAAUCUGCUGUGACCCGAAACUACAGUGAGAAAUGUAUAAACAACAUAAUGGAUUUUGUUUCUGGGUCAGCUAGUCAGAACUUUUCUCUUUUGCAAGAGUUCUACCAGACAACACUGAAAGCGCUUGAAGAAGCAAAAAAUGAGGUUGGAUUUGUUGCAUUACAAGAACUAAAAUUUUAUGUGCUGAAUGGUUCUUUAUAGCUUUUUAUUGUUUGUGGUGCAGAGAUUAUGGUUCAAGACAAAUCUGAAGCUUUGCAAAAUUUGGUUUGAUAUGGGGGAGUACGGUCGCAUGAGCAAGGUCAUUGGAUCAAUUCUUUAGUCAAUACUGUUUCAUGGCAAUAAAUUUGCUUUCAUUAUUAAAUUAUUUCCCAUGUUUUCUUGCUGGCAGAUACUGAAGGAGUUGCAUAAAUCUUGUCAAAAGGAAGACGGUUCUGAUGAUCAAAAGAAAGGCACACAGCUUUUGGAAGUCUAUGCUAUCGAAAUCCAAAUGUACACUGAAACAAAGAAUAAUAAAAAGCUUAAGGUAAGGCAUCCUUGUUUGCCUAUUUGCAAGUGUCUCUUUAGGUUAUGGUUUACUAUAAUAUUUUGUGUUAAAUUAUUGUGGUGUGAUGUUGUUUGUUUCUGAAAAUUGUUAUUCUAUUAUUCUCCAUUUUGUUGUGUCUUCUAAUUACUUUACCUUGUGUUUUUUUUUCUAGUAUAGAUUUAGAGUUGUUAGAUGCUAUGCCCUUGCAUUUUGACCUAUAUUUGAUUGCCUUUGUUUCACAAAAGGAUUCUUCACUCUUCGCUUAAAGAAGGGUGUGAAUAUAUCAUAAUAGUACAUUAGUGCUGUAACUUGUAAGAAUUGUUGCCAUCAUGCUGAUCUAUGCUGUCUGAAAUUGGAUGGAACACUAAGUUUCAUCUCAAUUUCUGGGAGGCUUAGUUUUCCUAGCUGAAAUUGGAUGGAAUACCUAACUUUAUCUCAAUUUAUGGAAGAAUGUUUAGCUAUUAUUAUGAUAUUAAUAUGUUGUGCACACCAGCGCAUUCAUGGGAUAAAACAUGUUUAUUCUUUUCUGCUUUUGUAGCCUUAAACCCUCCAGAUUGAUACUUUCUUGUCCAAUGCCAUUUAUUUGCUUAGUACUGUGCAAGAAUCAUGCUUAGAUUGCUGUUUUAUUGAAAUGCAUUAUCAGAAUUCUCAAGUGAAUCUCUGUUGCAGGAAUUGUAUCAGAGGGCUCUUUCCAUCAAAUCAGCGAUACCUCAUCCAAGAAUCAUGGGUAUAAUUCGUGAAUGUGGUGGGAAGAUGCACAUGGCUGAGAGGCAGUGGGCAGAAGCUGCGACUGAUUUCUUUGAAGCUUUUAAGAACUACGAUGAAGCAGGCAAUCCACGGAGAAUUCAAUGCCUCAAGUAAUUAUUUAAACCUAUGCACUUCUCUCCUUCUAGGCUCCUACAUGGAAGUUGGAGACAUAAUGUGAUCCAUAUGAGCAUUUUUUUCCUCUGAAUCAGAUAUCUUGUCCUUGCCAAUAUGUUGAUGGAAUCUGAAGUGAAUCCCUUUGAUGGACAAGAGGCCAAGCCGUAAGACAUCCAAUGAUCCCCGCAUAAAUCUUGUAGCUUGAUUUUCUACCACCCUGAAAACUCUAAUGCUUGCAGGUAUAAAAAUGAUCCCGAGAUCCUUGCAAUGACAAACUUGAUUGCAGCGUACCAGAAGAAUGACAUCAUGGAAUUUGAAAAGAUCCUAAAGGUGUGCCUUUGUUCCUGGAUGCUCUUUUUUUUCCAGCUCUUGAUUUUCUGUGUACUUGUUCUCGUUUAACUGUUAAUGAAUUUUUGGCAGAGUAAUAGAAGAACAAUAAUGGAUGAUCCUUUUAUCCGUAACUAUAUUGAGGACCUAUUGAAGAACAUCAGAACUCAAGUCUUACUCAAGCUUAUUAAGCCAUAUACGCGGAUCAGGAUACCGUUCAUUUCACAGGUAAAUUCUUACCCCAUGCCCAUGAUAUUCUUUGUGAAAAAUAAAGGGCAUGGAAUUGCACAUUUUGCUGGUUGUUUUUACUUUGCCCUACCAUAUAAAUUUGAAAAUUCUCUGCUCUAGCAAAAGUUGUGAGCCUGAUUGCUAUUUAGGAUAUUAUAAAAGAUGCUCAAGCUCAAGCUUCAACAUCUUUUUACAGUGUUGAAUGGCAGCAAUUAUUAGAUCACCAUCUGCAUUUAAGAACUAGAUUUACAGUGCUCGAUGACAGCAACUAAUCUUAUCACAAUCUGCAUUUAGGAACUCAAUGUCCCCGAGAAGGAUGUCGAGCAGCUCUUGGUAUCUCUCAUUUUGGACAACCGUAUCCAGGGCCACAUAGAUCAGGUGAACAAGCUGCUAGAACGUGGAGACAGGUGUGUAGUCCCAACUUAUUUCCUGUUGCUUCAAUACUAUGCUGUCUGCGGCCAGGUUCAGAUGUUGAUUCUUUUUUUUUUGUGUGCUUUUUUGCAGGUCCAAGGGGAUGAGGAAGUACAAUGCCAUUGACAAGUGGAAUACUCAGCUGAAGACCAUUUACCAAACGGUGUCCAACAGAGUUGGGUGAGACGGCUUCUGGCUGUCGUGUAUUUGCACUCAUGAGAUAUGUUGAUAGCCUGUUUUGGGGAUCUGAGGGCAAAUGCAAAUUGUUUUGACGCUUGAGGUAGAAUGUUGGAUCUGGGUGUAAUGUAGAGCUUGAACUGAACCCAGUGUUUUUAGAGUCCGAGAGACUUUACUAUGGUCCAAGCCAAUUGCCAGAGGGGAACGAUUAUCCAUCUGGUUGCCCUACUUUUCGUGCAAGCCUCUCGAGUCCUUCACAUGCCGAACCUGCUGGCCUCCGUGCUUAAUUUAAUGUUUCCCAGCAACGCGUCAACAAAUUAUAGUCGAUUUAGGUGGAAUCCAUUCAUGUUAGAAUUAAUUUUCCAGUUUUGCUUCCUCAUCAAACAAUUGAAAUCUUGCUUAUAACUAAUGUACAGUGAGGUGGUCUGGGCUUCCGUGACAUCCAUGUAUUCAACCUUGCUAUGCUGGCAAAACAAGGUUGGAGGCUGUUGCAAAACCCAGAUUCACUGUGCGCUGGAAUUCUGAGAGCAAAAUGUUAUCCACAAGGAGAUCCGCUGCGAGCAAAGCACUCGGGUGCAAUGUCAUACACCUGGAGAAGUAUUAUGCGAGGUAUACGGGUACUGAAGAACGGUGUGAUUUGGAGGAUACACUUAAAAUUAGCCAUGAAGGAACACAAGCCCCCACCUGAAAGGAGUACGCAUUGGUCAAGACCAAUAGAGGAUACACUUAAAAUCAAUUCUGAUGGCGCCUAUAAUGGCAGCACGGGUACGUUAUACCGUGAUGUAGAGGCCGGGAUGUUGAACUCUAAAAAAUAAUGGCAGUACGGGUGCUGGAGGGUGGGGCUAUGUGAUUAGAGACAGUAGUGGGGAGGUGAUUCAUGCUGGUGCUGGCCGUGUGCCGUAUCUGAUGGAUGCUUUCCAUGCUCAAGUUCUGGCAUGCUUGGAUGGUAUUAAAGCAGCAGGUGACAGGGGAAUGGUGAAGGUAGAGGCUGAAACAGAUUCACGCAUGCUCAAGAUGGCGAUUGAAGGGAGGGAGUUCUCUCUAGCACCAGCAGGAGGGCUAAUCCACGAGAUCAAGUCAAUUAUCUCGAAUUGGUUUAUGCAAUUUUCAGUAGUGUUUUGUCCUCGAGUCUGUAAUAAAGUAGCGCAUGCUUUGGCAGCGCGUGGGUGUAAGUGUUCCCCAAUUGCCGACCUGUAUUGGGACGGUGUGCCUGAGGGUAAGGAGAACCUGGUGGCCAGCGCGAUAUCGCUGAGUCCUUAAGUUAAUGGAAUCACUAUUCCACUCAAAAAAAAAGGGAGAUGGUUCAGACGCAAGUGCACAACAUGAGACUGUAUCUAUCGCUAAUCCAGCAAUUUUUCUUAUUACUCCAUCCUACCAGUGUUAUUAAGCGUACUUGGAAUGUUUAGUGUUACAUUAUCUAAAAAGAAGUAACUUAUACAGAGUUGUUUGCAGUUUCACUUGAUUUUAAACAACAUUAUGCUUUAACCCACAAGUUAUGACUUAAGAGCUGGUGAAGCUAUCUGCACUAGUUAUGACAGAGCCCCGCAAGGCUCAUAAGCGAAAAAGUGUAGGCUAGUACACUCGCAGUUCUAAACCGAGGCCUGAAAUCUGACAAGUGCCUCUGAUUUAACCCACAAGUGAUGAACCACGUGUACAUUGCUAUGAACGCCUCAACGCACUCGACAUGUUGAAAAACGGCUUGAAUGUCAGAAGUAGCCCGAUUAUCGACACCAUGUUUAUCAUCAGGAACAGGAUCUGAUCACCUGCAUCAAUUUGUUGUUUUUCAGUUGCCUGCCAUCCUAACAGUGGUAAUACUUAUAAGCCAUAUCCAUCACAUGUAACUUUUACAUACCUGGUAAGAACAGUCCAGUCAUGUGCUUCUGAGCCCACGAAAACCUGUAAAAAAAAUUAAAUUACGCAAUUCUUUUUUUCCGACGAACUAAAUUACGCAAUUCUGAAAAAGGCAGUACAUUUUUGUCCAGGUAAAAAGAAAGGGUAGUACUUACAAAAUUCCUGCUGCCGCUGGAGCCACACCUUUGAACAAUGACAUGAUAGUCACAGAGAUGCCAUUCGCGACGCCUCUUUGUUCUUGUGUCUACACAUGUUUCGUAAGAGAAGUUAGAAUCUAGAAAAUUGAACCCCAAAUGUAUUGAGCACAAUGAGCCUAUCAGACAGGAUUGAUACUUACCACUGCGUUGUUUUGCAGAAUGUUGCAUGCAGUAGUAAUGGUAGCCUGUUUAUUGCCCAAAUAUACAUCACAAUUUAUUCAAAAUAAAAAAUUCCUUGAAACAGACUAAGUUUAUUUUCAAUAAGAAGAUUGAUAAAACAUGUUUACAUGCAUUAGAAAAGAAGUUGACUCACAGAGAACACAUUCUUCAAAAGCGAAGCAAUGCUGAUUAGUAUUUUGAGCUCCGUCUCUUGUAGGUUGGCCAUGAAGGGGUAUGUUGCGAGGAGAAGUAUAGACAAGACCUACAAAUCAAUACCCAUUUAAAUUUGGCACUUGAAAAGAUAAAUGGCAUUAAAGAUGAUUUGCUUCAAUACAUCUCUUGCUUUAAUAAAUAUUUAUUUAUUUAUGUCCUGCGCACCCAAUCAGUUUCCAUAAAAAGAAAUCAGACAUACUCCACCACCUAAUAUUCAAAUCUAUAUCUAACCAUAAAUUUAACUUAUCUUAUUGGGUUGAUGCAUACUUGUUUCCCCACUGAACAUUAAACUACUUUAAUUUGUUUAAGAUUCUUAAUCUUUUUAUGAGUGUACUGAAGCAAAUCUCACAAAGAUGCAUUUCACAUACCGCCACGGGACGUAAUGGCCUGAUUGAUCCGAAAUACUUGACAAUGAAAGGAUAAAGGGCAAGUUGAUAUACAAGAACACCAACACCUAGAAAGAUCAAGUGAAAUUCUCGUAAGGUAAAUAAUUCAGCGGCAGAUGCUACUGGAAGUGGUAAAAGCAUGCAUGCUAUUUAUGUCUUGAUUUUAUUUACUUUGCAGGUUAUGUUUCUCUCUUUUUUGAGAAAGGGCUGUGCUUCAUAUGCACAAGAAUUAUUUUCUUAAAAACUAGCAAAAAAAUAUCACAUACCUGAGACGGCCAGCACAGUACCGACAUCCUGUGAGGUCAAAUUCAGGCCCCGGAAUUUUCUGCUGCUAACUGCCCAGAGCGAAAAUGUCUGAAGAUGAUAUUCGGAGAACAUAUUAGGAUCCUCUCAUAUUGAAGAAGUGACUCUCAUGAUCACUUAAUAAAGAUUCAGAAAUAGAGAAUAGAGAUCACCUCAAGGUAAGCUGUGUCAUGGAGACAAAAGAUACAGUAGAUGAUUAUUGCUGACAUCAGUUGCCAGUUCUUUAGCAGGUUCUUUGUAGAUGUGUCACUAGCCUCUUUAGCUUUUCCACCUUCUAAGUUUGAGUCAGCAACUUGUGCCUCCAGCGCAUCAAUAGCUUCUACUUUUUCAUCAUCAUGGAAGUGCAGUGUUUCCUGAGAAAAGGGAUAAAUGGUAAGGAACUUUCUCAAAAUCUUAUGAAAAUUUUGGAAGAAAUGCUUUGUACUGAACAACGGUGUAUCAUUCCUGUUAUAUUUCACUAUUUUCUUUAAGAGACGUAGCCAUUUUGAUUUUCAUUGAAAAAAUCAUAAGGAGAUAGUGUGGCAUACCGGAAGCCAUAUGCAUGCAAUACAGGAUCCAGCUGCUAGCAUCGAUAUGAAAAAGCUUGGAAGGAAGUAUGGAAACCUGAAAGUAGACACAAAUUCCAAAGGUUUAUCUUAUGCGCAAGAAGAUACAGAAACCAAUGUAAUACAAAUAGUAUGAGCAAUAAUUUACCUCCCAAAUAUGGACUCCUUUGAGAAAAGGUUUGGGUACUUCUCUGCAGGCUAAUACAGGAUAGAGGAUAGACAAUGUUGGUCAUGUAUUUUUUGCAAUGGUUGCUUUAUAAGACUAUAAAAAGUGCAAUUGUCCUCACCUGUGCAAGAAACCCUCCAAUAGCUGGUCCCAUAACAAGAGCUAUUGCUCGCGAUGAAGUAACCUAGGACAUAGCGUUAGACCUAAGUUAGCUGCCUACAAGUAAGGAUAGACACUACGAACUGAACAUUUGUUCAAAGUAAGAAGUUGAAGGUUUGAAAUUCAAAAGUUACUAGGGAUUGUUCUUACAAGAGAUAUUCCUAGAGCUUGGUGCUCUUUUCUGCAGACUUCCGUAGCGUAGGCCUGGAAAAUACAUAUGCAUCCAUGAGCAUCUAAUACCUACUGUCAUUGGCUAAGUGGGGCCAGCAAUCGAGACAAUUUACCUUGAUUGGCCCCAGUAUACCACAGAGCAACCCAAGCAACCCCCUAGUCACAAUUGCCAUCCAGUAACUUGUGCUAAGGCCAAAGAGUGUGUUGAAAACAAUCCUGAAAAAUCAAAACCAAGUUUACUUCAGCCUAUUUGCUGAUGGAGUACUAACUAACUGAGCAUGAUCCCAUAAUGUGGCUGAAUGUUCCCUACACUGAGAGAAUGCUGAUCACAAUGCAGGGCUUCCUUCCAUACUUGUCUGCAAAUAUGCCCCAUGGAACAGAAGUGAAGGUCCUGGCAAGGAAAUAAGUUGCCCCUGGAGCCACAAUUACAGUCAGUAAGACAGUAAGUAAUGACGACAACUAUCAUCAAACUGAGAUAAUAACUGUGGUCUACUCAAUGAUUUGAGGAAUGUGCACAUGUAUCCUGAUUGAGGUUAAGAGUAUGAUAAUAUAUAAAAUCGGGAUGCGAAAUCUCAACCAUGAGAGGAGACAUCACUCACCAAUAAAACCAGCAUAGAACCCGAUAUCCUGCUCUUGCUUUGCGAUUUUCAGGUCUCUGAUCUGUUGUAUUGCAACAACAACAAAGUGACAAAUAGUUGGCAGCCAUCAUAUUCCAGAAUUUAAGGGUUGCAGGUUCUUGUAUGUCAAUGAAGAUAAAGGUUCAGAUUCUAAAAUGUAUAUACAUACCAUGAAGUAUAGAUAAGGGAACGAUGACAGGAUCGGCAGAGCUGGAACAGCAAAAAGGGUUAGGGGUUAAUACAACAAACAAUUAAAACUGAUUUGAUUUGAUUGAACUGAAGAACAAGGGAAAAGAACGUGCAUCAAUGCCCACUGUGUGAAUCAAGCUCUGACAACAAGAGCGCUAUGGCCACUCUGCAUUCCAAGAUGUUUGACAAGAUGAUCAGAUCAACGCCUAGCAGUGUUGGACCCAGCCCAAGACUUAGAUGGUGCGGAGGAGAGAUUAGGUGUCAGGUAGAUAGGGUAUAGCAGCAGUAUUAGAGAGACCGCGUUAUGCAAUUUUUCAAAAAAAGACGUGGCUACUGCUGCUGGAGGCCCACCAUCUUAGCCCAGGCCCAAAACUGUGCAAGCCCAUUGGACUUCGGCCUUCGGCCUGCUUGCACCCGGUAGAGCGCGCCUCCGGUGUGCAAGGAAACCACACUUAAACUGGAGACUAAUUCGUCGCAGGAGUAUAUGGCGGUCAUGUUGGUCGUCUGUCAUAUGUACUCCGGUGAGUCAUCGGCGGGCACGUCACCGACGAACAAAAUACUCCAAUCAAAGUUACUCCAAAUAAAACACACCAAAUUGAAGUAGCCGAGAAAGAAGGGGAUAUAUCUCAUAUCUGUGGGGGAUCGACAUGGACUAGUACGACUCACUGGAGGUGAGGCAGACGAUCCAGAUGUAGAAGAAGUUGCGGUAGGGGAUGCCGGUGCUCAUCUUGUUCGCCUCCUCCAGCCGGCACCCGGGGCACCCCUCGCGGCUCCUCCGCUUCGAAUUCGUCCCCAGCAGCGGCGCCGCCACCGCCUCGCCGCCGUCCAUCCCGCCGCCGGUCGGUCGAUACGAUGAUCCUCUCCUCUCCUCUCGCCGCGCCGCCCGCCCGGAACAAGAUCGAGCACGGCGGGUCGUCUUGCUCGCUCUCCCUUGCAGCUACUACAUACGAGCGGUGGCGUUAAUCGUUAACUAGCUGAAGGAAGAAGAUGCAAACUGCAAAGACUCUGCGACGCCCAAAAAUCUUGGCAUCCGGUGCCCAACUCUGCACCCGGUACCUUGAUUAUUAAAUUAUCUCACGUACGUGCUGUUCACCCGGCUCCUUCUACCUCAGCACCUCGCAGGCCAUGCUGGGGCUGCUACCGCGCUCCUCCUCGCAUAUAUUGGCCAGGAUGGAAGCAGACAAGCUUGGUUAGGAUUUUUGCACAGCUCGUCUAGGACGAUGUCGCAGAGCUCAAAUUGGGGAUGCAGAGCUCCCUAUUGGUUAAGAGAGACAGAGAGAUUUGCAUUCGAUUCUUUUGGAGAAAUUGGGGAGUGAGACCGUCGAGGAGGAGCAGUUUUAGUCGUCCUCGUCAGUGUAGUUGAUGGCUGAUUGGCUGCAGGCGAUAGAUUCUACCGGCAGUGCUCACUGCUCAGGUCGUUCUCGUGCGAAGCAUCGAUCGGACUGAGGAAGAAGCGAACAAGAUGCGCAGGCGGAGAGGAAACGUACAUCUUUUUCUUUCCUUUUGCUCUUGCCGGUCCCACCCUCCCACCUUUGGCACUAAACGUGCUAGCGCUUUUUGACGGGCGAGCGAGCGAGGAGUUACCGACGACCUUGGAGUCGCAUGUAUCUUUUAAUCUUUGGGUACGACGGCAAUUGAGAAAUUACGAGUGGAGCAGCAUGCUGGGGAAACACCUUCGAAAUCCCAUUUGGAGGGACAAUUAACCCUGACGGUUUGUUUGAUUGUAGCGAACUCUAAGUGUAGAGAAAAGGAGGACGGAAAUGAAUGACCUUCAGGACACGACGGUGGUGGGAUGGCCCUCGCGACUCCCUCUAGGAAGCUGCUGCGUUCGGCCCAUUUUCAGCACGGGUUAUCCGUGACAAAAGACCCUUCAACCUCCAAAGGAGCCAAGCACGCGUCGGAAGACCACGUUAGCCGCCACAUGGAAUGAAGGAGCUGUAUGAGGAGCCAGCUGAAAGAGUCCUUUGCCGUAUUCCCCGUUGUACCCCGGGAUAUUCUCGAUGGGAUGGCUGGUUCGAAGUAAAUGAAAGUUAAUGUCAUUUAGUGCUCUUCUUUACAUUUCAUUUUAUUGUUUUGGUGAUCUCAAUUUUGGACUGGUAGAAUAAGAAUAGGACAGACACUUGAUUCUCUUCUCCCGACGAAGGGGCCCUCACCCCUUCGGAGGAAGAACUCGCAGGCUGUUGUGACGAAGUCCACUUCGAGGCUGUUUGCACCAACACAGCAAUCGCGCCUGACACACAUCAGGGCAAGUGAAUUCUCCCUUCAUGUAAAUGGACGGCGUGAAGGGGGAAAAAAUCCAUCCAACAAUCGCAGGCAAAUGGAAGAACAGUGCACAUACGUGAACUCAUGAAGAGAGAGCUGAUUGCAUCCAUCAACGUUUCAGUACCCAAUUUGGACAACCAGUGCAGAGAAGUCACAUUCUCGACUGGGAGGCCCACAAUUUAGAGAGACACAUGAUCUUGAGCAUUCGCAACCCCCAUUCUCGGAGGAAGAGAUAUUGGCAGCAGUGAGAGAAAUAGCUGCAGAUAAGGCCCUGAUGGCUACAUUGGGGCAGUUUCUCAAGGCAAGCUGGUCAGUAAUCAAAGAUGAUGUCAUGGCAGCAGCCAGCAGUGAACUUCUUCCAUGACCAACAUGAUCAACAUUUCAACAACCUGAACUCAACACAUCUGAUCCUCCCGAUUCCAAAGAAGCCAGAUGCAAAGUGUGUCAGACUAUGGACCCGUCAGCCUCACUCAUAGUGUUGCAAAACUUACCUAGGAGAAAGACCAUGGCAACUCGGUUGGCUGAUAGUCUGAAUCUACUGGUUUCAAGAGCACAAAGCGCGUUCAUUAAAAGUUCAGGAUUAGUAUGCUUGCCGACGAUGCGGCAUUUUUUCCUCAACCUGUCAUGGAAGACGUGAUGUGUUUGCGCUUCAGAGUUCAGACUUCAAAUUGGCACGAUCUCCGGUAUAUGAAGUGCAAAAAUGUUACUAUAGUUAGGUAACUAAAACUGUUCUUUUCCCCUCGAUCCUUACUAAGAACAGACUAAGAACUGUGCCUAAUUGUGAAGCGUGUCAGUGAAGCCAAGAACAAAAACGAAAUUAUCGUACUGUCGACUUCAAAACUUAAAUCUGACAGGAGAAAUGAGAGCACGAAACUUUACAGGAUGGUAACUGAUGGAAUCAGUCUGCUGGUAACAAAUGAAUUAAACGAUGCCAAAUUAUAAGCCGUUCCUGACCUUACGACUGAUAAACACCAAAGCUGCAACAAAGAAUACGUCACUGCCUGUGUAAAAAUAAAGUACCUCACAAUUAAGAAUACAAUGCGUGAACACCUAGUGGUACUUCUGGCUGCUCCUUGCAACUUUAGCUAACAUUACCUAGCUGGGCAUGUUUGAUGUGCUUGAGGCAUUUCUUUGACAACCUGAUAUACUCUUGGCCUUGGAGGGGUAUGCAACUGGCCUGCUACAUUGACCUUUUCGUUCCAUGCAACGACCAUCCUUUACGUUUCUCUACUUAUGAACUCAGUGUUUCAGCAAAAGUCAAUGAGCAUGGAUCUGGAUCAUAAAGAACAUCCACACCAUAUUUGCAACUUCAAGAGAAUGUUGGUUCUCUGCAAAACAUGGAAAAAGAAAAGUGAAAACAAACCUUUGGGACAUCAUGCCAAAUUGAUCAGUUACAUUUGGCAGGUUUCUUUCCAAAAGCCGCAUGAGUGCAAAAUAUAUGUUCAUCCUAAAGUGAGGGGAGCAGGACAUCAGAAGUAAUUGCAGCAUAGAAACAAAAGAACACUGCUGACAUCUAGCGCUCAUCUCAUACACCCCUUUGACUAAUCACUAAAAGAAAACCUAAACAAUGAAGGCUUGUCUGUGGAUAACUCAAAUGCUUCAUUACUACAAAUCAUCCAAAUUACUGGCACUAGCAUAAAAAUGAUCAUCCUUGCAUAGAUGCCCUUAGCCACACCCCUCCUGAACAUGGAUAAUAUGAUCCAGAUUUGUGACCUGUGUGCCAAACAGGCUGGACCAGUGAAUGACAAUGAAAGCAAGUUAUAAAAUAUACAAGUCCUAUGAAACAUGACUAGACAUCGGUAUGAACACGACAGCUUAAGAUUGGAAUAGCAAGACUGCAGAGAUCCAAACAUCAUGGUGGUACGGCAAUACAACACAAGGGCUAGUAGAAGAUACAAGGCUGAACCUGGUAAAAAAAGAUUGAAGCAAUUUAAACAGUUCUCCCAGCCUAAAAUUAGCAAAAGGUUUUAGAGUAAAGGUUUGCCUUUUGCUAAUACCGAAAACAGCAAAUCAGGAUCCAGUAACAGAUGGGGUCAACAAGAAACAGUUACAGUUACAGCUUACAUGUAGAAAAUGGCAGGAGCUUCUAAUUGCCGAAUUCUCAUUCCACAUAGUCAGCAUGUCUAUUUUGUUAUCUACUUCAAAUCAAUCUCAAUAGUUUCGCUCUGCUCAAAUAACUCAUCAAGAUCUUUGAAUCCACUUGAUGUGUGAAAUUAUUAAAAAAAAAACUAGCCCAUUUGAUGUGUUUGGAUAAAACCCUCUGGAACAUAAAGGUAAAAUUUAGUUGAACUGAAAUCAAAUUACCAAAGCAGGAAAGAAGUGUCAUGAUCAUUUGUGGCUACAUGGUGGACCACAUGGAAGGAAAGAAACAGGCGGGCAUUACAGGGAGUCAGGGACAAGAGCUCAAUGCAGAACAAAUUGCUUGCGGCAUGGAGGAGGACAACAAACAGAAGAAAGAGCAUACUGUGGUCCGUGUGAUGCACAGCCAUACAGGCAGAUAUCAGAGAGGACAAUGGACACGGGGAAAAAAGGAACUUGCAAGUUGCAACUAGAGAGACCAUCGCCUGCUUCUGCACUAGCCCUGCAUUAUAGUUUAAGAGGGGGCAGUCUACGAUACAAUUAACUGGAGACAGCCUUUUCUUUAGAUGAACUGGAAACAGCUCAUGCCAUCCAAGAAAAUAAGAUCUAUGACAGUUUGCAGUUAUGACCAAAUUGUAAACUACAAAUAAUUUGUGUCAGUGAACUGAAAGGAAUGCAGGACUAUUGCUCAGGAUCACAAAACCAAUGUCAUGGUGCAAAGUCUUUCUAAAUUGGGGUCAAAGUAGGCAAAAGUUGAACUUGUGGAUCUGUCAUACAUGUAACAGACAGACAUACUGCAAUGGGAUCAACUUGAUUUUAUAUCUCACCCACGGCCUCAAAGGCUGCAGAGUACUUCCCUGAAGGCAGUAGGAUCUUUCAGGCUUAUGCUAAAUCUGAAGCCCAAGAGUGAGAAGGUAUCAUGAAAGGCUGAAGUUUUAUGCAACCUACACAGAAUGUGCACAUACAAAAAUUGGCAUUAAUACAUCAUUUUGCCUCCUGCGACCUGCGCAACCAAUUAAAAGUGAACUAUGAACUGGCCCCAACCUCAAAUGGUUCAUGAAACCACAUUGGAGCCAUUCCACAACUGGAGAUGCCAUUCCACAGGCAAGCACGGCAAACUCUGAUGUGAUUGCGAGCAAAACUGGGACGAACUCUGCAGUCACACAGCCGCGCCCGUGAUUCUGCUAGAGUACAAAUAAAUCUGAAACCGACCUACAACGGAAACGUACCUCGCUGCUCCUGCUGAUUUACCGCUCAUCCAAGGCCAAACCCCUCCCCCACGCCCGUGAGGAAAACCCCCGCCGAUCCCGGUCGCAAACUGCGUCGCUGGCCGCCGCCGCCGCCGAUUCCGUUCGUCAGGUUCGCGCUGCAGAAUGAUGCGGCUCAUAGGGCCCGGCCGGGUUCAAAAGACCAACCCAACAACCCGGCCCGACCACUUGAACAAGUCAAAUACCCGUCCCCCCGCCCCUCUCUCCUCCCUUCUCCCCUUCUUGUCUUCCUCCUCCCUCGCGGCCUCGCCCAAGAAUCAAGAAUCCCCCGCGGCUCCCACCCCACGCCCAAGAACGCCGGCACACGCACUCGGCCUCCCGCAUCUCUUCUUGGUCUCCUUCCUUCGUCUCCCUCGCGGAAAGAAAUCAAGAAUCCCCGGCCGCUGCCACCCCACGCCCAAGAACCAAGACUCGACGGUCGCCAGGGUGUAUUACGAUUUCUUGCGCAAGGCGUGGUGCUCGUGCUCGACGCCGAGGCAAGGGCGAUGGGGUUCGACUGCGUGGACAACGACAGCUGGAUCUUCUCGCCCGCACUGUGGGGCGACGUCGACGAGGCCUCGGUGAGGAAGGCUUUCGACGGGCCCAGCGACGGCCGUCUCUCCAUCACCGCGGUGCGUCGCUGCUACCACCGCGACGCGCGCGCCGUCAGGUUUCUGGAUAGCACGAAGGGGCGGGGCGCGUGGGCCUUCGGCUGGUACGGCGCGGCGGCGCACCACGUCCAGGUCGCGGCCGACGGCGGCGACCUGACGGUGAACUGGCCGCUGCUCGGUGCUGUUCGCGCGCACGAGCGCGGCAUACACUUGUCCGUCCAGGGAAAGCCGAUGCCAAGGUGACUUCGACAUUGCCUUGCUUCUGUAGUUCUGUUCUUGGUGACUUCUUGUUGUUUGCCAAGGAUCUAUUUUUCGAUCAGUAGAUGGAAUGGACAUUUGGACAAUUCAGUUAUUGCUUUUGGUGACCUUUUCUUUGCCAAUUGCCUAGAUUCUAUUUUCUGUUCUUGAUGGAUAAAUGGAAGUGACUAGCUGUUUGCCUAGUUAUGUCCUCUGUUCUGGAUAGGCAGAUCGUAUCAAAUGCCAAAGUGACUAGUUGUUCGCCUAAUUUUGUUCUUCAGAGGUGGAUCAUAUCAUCAUCCUGUUCUUGUCCAUAUGCAGGGUAAGGUUCAAGCUAUAUUCUCUUUACUAAAUACUUCUAUCACGUUUUGUUUGCAGUGUCGAGCUUUCGGUGGCGAGCAUGAACGAUCAGCAGACCGCCCACCUCCUGUUCUGCGUGCUGUCGCCUGGCUUUCCGGAGAUCAUCGAUGCCGGGUCCCCACAAUCUCAGGCCAGCAGCCCCCUCUUCCGUUCAGGCACUGAUGCCAUGGAGAAUCCCACGUGGCAUGUCAUCUGGGAGAGCUCAGCAGGAACACAAAUACUUCCACUGUACAUGGUCAGUUUCAGGCCUACCCAACGUUACAAGAGGACAGGGUCCCCGCAUGAGGAGGCUUCAAUUCAGAAGAAAGUAAGGUUAAGCGUGUAGAUAGAUACAGAGGGCUCUGCAAGAGUGGCGUUACAGGAAGUGAAGAAAGCAGCUUUGGUGUGUGUUCCGCAGUUACAAAUGAGCCAACAUCAUAUCUGAAGAACGACUUCUUGUCGAAAUUCUGAGUGUGUUUGGUUUACUGAACAGUUGCUGUAGAUUUUUUGUUUCUACUAUGGAUUGCAAUUAAGGUUCUGCAGUUUUACUUCUGUGAAGUUGGCCCUUUGCUUUAUUGACAACAUGAAGCCUUACUGGUAAAAGGGUGAUACUUCAGGAGUUGAACAAUUCCUGAAACUUGGAUGACAUGGAGUGUUUGGUGUUUCCCUUCAACUGGUGCUAGACCGCCUGGUACACAGCGCUUAGUAGAACAUUGUUCGGAUCUCAAUAUUUUGCGCAUUUGCUCAUUAUUAGAUUUCUAGAAGAAGAUAGUUGUACAUUAUCCGAUAAUUCGGUAAACUUGAAUCUAGAGUGCUCAUUUACAUCAGCACAGAUGAUACUAACUGUUUCCUAUUCUAUUCGAAAAAAAAGAAAGAAAACUGUUUCCUAUUGUAGUUGCCAAAGGCAAUAAAAGAGAGAGUUUUGUAGAAACUUUUCUCUCGAACCGGUAAGAGAGCAUCCCGUGAUUUAUUAAAAUGGAACAAAACAUGGUCCAUACAAAAAACAAAAGGUAGAGAAAAAACAAUGAAUCAAGAAAAGGGAAAAGGGACCAACAUGGUCCAGUAAACAUGUUUGUAGAAACUGGACAUACAGCAAACCUUCAAAAGCGAUGCUAUGUUGAUAAAGCAUCUUGAGCUCUAGCCCAUGUAGGUUUUCCAUGAAAGGAUAUGUUGCAGGGAGAAGUGUCGAUAAGACCGUACAAAUCAGAAACAAAUUUGAAUUUUGGUAAUAAGAAAUGAUAAAUGAUCAGAUUAAAUGAAACACGCAUUUUAGUGCUGGAGUUGAUGAAUCAGAUCGAAGAAAUAUAUUGACAACACUGGGGAUUUGCUUCGACGCACCCUCUUCUGGAAGAAAAAUAAUAUCAUGGGGAACACCUCUACAAUAACCAGCAUACUCCCUUACCUAAUAGUAUUGAAAUAUAUAUGUUCGUCGAAAAAAGGAAUAUACAUCUAAUAAUAAAUUUUAUUUGAUUCAUUUUAUUCAGUUAGUACAAACAACUCCGACUCGAUGGAGUUGGCGGGAGUGAGUCGGUCGAUCAGGUUGCCAAUUCCGAAUUUCCGAUGGGAACGGUGCACCCUGUAUAACCUAUAAAUUCAUGAGGCACGGUACGUAGCAAUCCAUCCGAUCCGAUCGAUCGACAACUCCAUCAGUGCGUGCAGCCCCUAACUGAUCGAGCUAACAAAGCUAUGGAAGAAGAAAUUCUCGUGGAUGGAUUCUCUACUCAAACCAAGGCCAUGCGCAUGCGCGACGCCGCCUUCGCCGCCGACACCAUGGAGGAGUACCUAGACCUGAUCUAGGACUUGAUCGAGCCCGCAGAGUCGUCACCGAUGGAGGAUCAUCAACAACAGCAUCAUCAAGAAGAAGAAGAAGAUGAAGCAGCAGGGAUCGCGGAGCUGGACCUCUUCUUGUCGCGCGUCAUGGAGCGACCGGACGAGUUUGACUUCCACCCGCGCUUCGGCUCCUCCACCAAGAGCGCAGCGCCCAUGGAGGGCCCCGAGGAAGACCGGGAGCUGAUGGACGAGCUCAUCAACAGCCUCAUGAGCAUUCCUGACGUUGAGGGAGGAGACACCGCGGCCAUGGAGGACGACGAGGACGCGUGGGCCAAGGACGACGAUGACUUGGACGGCUUCAUCCAAGACAUCGCUGAAGGAGGCCGCCACGCCAGCGUUGUGGCGCUGUUAGAUUAAUGGGCCACGGUGGCCUAUUAAUAAAUCAAUUAUUCAAUUAAAUCCCAAGCCCCCAUUCACAUUGUGGUAGUUACAUUUGGAAUAAAACAACCUUGGAAGUUGUGAGGUUCCAAACCAUUAUUCACAAGUUGAUGACUAGUAACUGAUGCAGUGUUUAGUGAUUAGUAACUGACGUGGAUUAAAAGGCUGAUAAUAAAUGACUACUAACUGUUGCUAGUUGAUGACUGGGUUACCAGUUGAUUGCAUGUCAAAUAAUGGCAAUGAAUCUAGACAUCCAAAAAACUUCUAGUGUCUAUAAAAAAGAGGCAGUCCUUCCAGGCUUCCGAGUGCAACAUACCAAUCAUCGAGCUUUCAGCCUAUUGCUGCGCUACCUUUUUGUUGUCCCCGUUUUGGCGUUCUGUGUGCCUAGAACACAUCGGAAGAGUAGGCCUCCAAAGCUACAUCCUUGCCUAAGACUCUGCACCUGAGGAGUAGAAGGGCGAUCAAGUUUUUGGGAAGCGCAUCUGCGCGACUGCUCGUUGCGCACCUCUUCUUCCUAGAGGCACAACUGCAUGGCGAACAUUUGCACGGCAUCGACUUUGAUCGACUACACCGAAUAGGCUCAAAAUGCUGAGUAACAACGCAUCUGGUGCCACUGACACUAGCCCCGCUGCAGGGUACUUUCUCAUAAACUUUCUGGUUCGUUACUUGUUUUCUGUUAUUUCUAUUGCAUGCUUUAUAUUCAUUGUUAUAGACACAAAUAUUCAUGCUCCUAUUUAUGCUAUCGUUUAUGUCAUGUUUUAUUUUAUAUCUUGGAUUAAAAUAAAUUAUAAAAUACCUAUAAUUCCAACAAUCCAAAAACUGGAUAGGGCUUUUUCGGUUGUUGGCUUUGCUGCACAAUUGAAAUCGAUUAUUUUUUACAAGAGAUGGGUUGGCAGACUUGAGUUGUGGCUCAUAGCUAUGAACGUGUGAUUCAUUACCAAGGAGCGUCCUAAGGGACUGCACACCUCUGCAGAGGAUAGUGUGUACAUGUCUGCUGACAAUUUGUUCAAAGGGGCUGUGAUCAGUGUUCUUGCUGAAAACUUGGUCGAAUCAUACAUGCAGCAUCCCUCUAGCAAGGCGUUGUGGGAUGCACUUGAGGCAAAUUUCAGAGUAUCCGAUGCGGGUAGUGAAUUGUAUAUCAUGGAGUAGUUUUAUUAUUAUAAGAUGGUCGAUGACCGUCCUAUAGUUAAACAAGCUCAUGAGAUACAUGUGCUUGCCAAGGAUCUCAAUUACCUCAGGUGCCUGCUGCUGGAUAAAUUUGUGGCCGGUGGCAUCAUUGCCAAAUUGCCUCCUUUGUGGAGAAUCUUUGCUACUACUCUGAAACACAAGAGAUAGGAGUUCACUGUAGUCGGUCUGAUCGACACUCUUGAUGUUGAGGAAAAGGCGAGAGCAAAGGAUUCACGUGCGCAUGGCAACAAGGGAGGUUCUAGUGCUCAUGUGGUGCAUAAAAGGAACUUCCAAUCCCACAACAAUAAGGGCAAAGCGUAGGUUGAGUUUCAACACAAGACUGCUCAGACUACCAACUUUAAGAAGAAGAAGAAGAACAAGGAAAAAUGCUUUGUGUGCGGUGGUUCUGACCAUUGGGCCAAGGACUGCAAGGACCGCAAGGACAAGUAGCAGCACGAGCAGAAGAAGUUUGCUAAUGUUGUUAUUGGCGAUGCUGAGAAGGGAACAUCAAGGUAUGAUAAUCAUGCUACUGUUCUUUCAGUUUGUCACUUACCAAAUUGUUGGAUUGACACUGGAGCUAAUAUACAUGUGUGUGCUGAUAUUUCUUUGUUUUCCUCUUACCAGGUCAUAGGGAAUGGAUCCGUGUUGAUGGGGAAUGGCUCAGGUGCUGCUGUUCAUGGUAUUGGUACGGUUGAUCUGAAGUUUACUUCAGGAAAGACCGUGCGGCUAAAGAACGUGCAGCAUGUCCCCUCAAUAAACGAAAAUCUUGUUAGCGGAUCUCUUCUUUGUAAGGAUGGUUUUAAGUUGGUGUUUGAGUCGAACAAGUGUGUUGUGUCUAAGUUUGGUUCCUUUGUUGGUAAAGAAUAUGAAUGUGAUGGUUUGUUUCGCUUGUCGUUAUCAGACUCUUGUAAUAAAGUUGUGAAUCAUGUAUGUAAUGAUGAUGAAUCAAAUAUUUGGCAUUCAAGGUUUUGUCAUGUCAAUUUUGAUUGUAUGUUGCGGCUAGCUUAUUUGAGUUUAAUUUCGAAAUUCACUUUGGUCAAAAAUUCUAAGUGUCAAGUGUGUGUGCAAUCUAAGCAACCUCACAAGCCUCACAAGGCUACCGAGGCGAGGAACUUGGCAACGUUAGAAUUAGUUCAUUCAAACUUGUACGAAAUAAAUGGUGUGUUGACUAAAGGUGGAAAGAGAUACUUCAUGACUUUGAUAGAUGAUUCUACUAGAUACUGCUAUGUGUACUUGCUUAAAACGAAAGAUGAGACAUUUAAUUUUUUUCAAGAUCUAUAAGGCCAAAGUUGAAAAUCACUUGAGAGGAAGAUAAAACGUGUUCGAUCGGAUCGAGGUGGAGAGUAUUUCUCUAAUGAAUUCAAUUUAUUUUGUGAGAAACAUGGCAUCAUUCAUGAGAAAAGACCACCUUAUUCCCCUGAGUCAAACGGAGUGGCUGAAAAAAAGAAUCGUACUCUAACUGAGAUGGUUAAUGCCAUGUUAGAAACAGCCGAACUUUCUUGGGAACGGUGGGAUGAAGCCAUACUGACUGCUUGUCAUACUCUUAACAGAGUUCCUAUGAAAAACAAAGAGAAGAUACCAUUCGAGAAAUGGAAAAAUAAAAGAUUAACACUCUCAUACCUGUGUACUUGGGGAUGCUUGGCAAAGGUUAAUGUACCAUUUGCUAAGAAACAUAAGCUCGGACCGAAGACAGUUGAUUGUGUCUUUCUAGGCUAUACUUUUCAUAGUGUCAGAUAUAGAUUCUUGAUAAUAAAAUCUGGAGUACUGGACAUGCAUGUUGGUACAAUCAUGGAGUCCAGAGAUGUCUCAUUCUUUGAGAGUAUUUUUCCUAUGAAAGAAACAUCUAGCAGUUCUAGUCAUGAAUUUAUUAAUUCCCUUGAACAUAAUGAUAUAAUAGUACACUUUGAACAACCACAUGAGGAAAAUCAUGAGAAGGAUAACAAUGAAGGAACUCGAAAGAGUAAAAGACAAAGGAUUGCAAAGUCUUUUAGUGAUGACUUCAUUAUGUACCUUGUAGAUGAUGACACUCUAAAAAAGCAUUAUGAGGCUUAUGGAUCUCUUGAUGCUGACUAUUGGAAGGAAGCAAUCAGAAGUGAGAUGGAUUCCAUAAUGUCUAAUGGGACUUGGGAGGUUGUUGAUCGUCCAUACGGGUGCAAACCUAUAGGAUGCAAGUGGGUGUUCAAAAAGAAGCUUAGGCCUGAUGGUACUAUUGAAAAGUAUAAGGCAAGGCUUGUGGCCAAGGGUUACACUCAGAAAGAAGGCAAAGAUUACUUUGAUACUUACUCACCAGUUGCCAGAUUGACCACAAUUCGAGUACUACUAUCGUUGGCUGCCUCACACGGUCUUCUCAUCCAUCAAAUGGAUGUUAAGACAGCUUUCCUUAACGGAGAGUUGGAUGAGGAAAUUUACAUGGAUCAGCCUGAUAGAUAUGUAGUAGAAGGUUAGUAAGUAAAGGUGUGAAAGUUGUUAAAAUCUUUGUAUGGCCUCAAACAAGCGCCUAAGCAAUGGUAUGAGAACUUUGAUAGAACUCUCACGUCCGUAGGCUUUGUUGCGAAUGAAGUCGACAAAUGUGUGUACUACCACUUUGGUAGGGGAGGAGUGAUUCUGUGUUUAUAUGUUGAUGACAUAUUGAUCUUUGGAACUAACCUCAAUGUGAUUGAGGAAGUUAAGAGCUUUUUGUCUCAAAAUUUUGAGAUGAAGGACAUGGGAGUGGGUGAUGUGAUUUUGAACAUUAAGGGAGAAGGUAAUGGUGGGGCUACAUUAAUACAAUCCCAUUAUGUGGAAAAUAUAUUGAGUCGCUUUAGUUAUAGUGACUGCAAGCCUGCUCCCAUGUCUUACGAUUCUAGUCUGAUAUUGCGGAAAAACAGAAGGAUCACAAGGGAUCAAUUGAGAUAUUGUCAAAUCAUUGGCUCGCUAAUGUAUUUAGCUAGUGCUACGAGGCCUGACAUCUCAUUUGCUAUGAGCAAACUCAGCAGAUUUGUUUCAAAUCCUGGAGAUGAUCAUUGGCGUGCUCUUGAGAGAGUAAUGCACUAUCUAAUAGGCACCGUGAGUUAUGGAAUUCACUAUGUUGGGUAUCCUAAGGUACUGGAAGGCUACAGUGAUUCAAACUGGAUAUCAGAUACCGAUGAGAUAAAAGUCACAAGUGGAUAUGUGUUCACACUUGUACGGACCCACUCUGUUAGAGAUGCAAUCUCGCCUAAAUAUGCAUGGUAGGUUGGUAAACACCUUAAUGUGAUCCGAGUGGCUUAUUUUAAGCAAAGAUGUUAACCUACAGAAAUAUCUUUUGAGGAGCACACCUAUAUGAGUGUGACUGCUAGUCACAGUUUAUGAGGUUGGGUAAUCUCUAGAGACUCAUGAAAGGCUAGAAGUAUGACUUAUAUGCUUCAACCAGAGGGGAUGCAUUUUGCAGCCUAGUAUCGGUAAAGGACCUAAGUGAAACUUGUUCGCACAAAACUGGCAAUUCAAGGCAUAGUUCAUUGUUCAGUUGUGGAUAAAUGUAGCUUAUACUCUAGGUGGAUGUUCAACCUUAAUAAUAUCUCCAUUGAAAAACCGAUAUAUCAAACAACAGUAGAACUGAACAUGUGUCUUGGAAUUUAGUGGGGAUUGUUAGAUUAAUGGGCCUCUGUGGCCUAUUAAUAAAUCAAUUAUUCAAUUAAAUCCCAAGGCCCAUUCACAUGGUGCUAGUUACAUUUGGAAUAAAACAACCUUGGAAGUUGAGAGGUUCCUAACCAUUAUUCACAAGUUGAUGAUUAGUAACUGACGUAGUGUUUAGUGACUAGUGACUGACGUGGAUUAAAAGGUUGACAACAAAUGACUAGUAACGGUUGCCAGUUGAUGGCUGGGGUUACUAGUAACUUACCAUUUGAUGGCAGGCCGAAUAAUGGCAAUGAAUCUAGACACCCAAAAGACCUCUAGUGCCUAUAAAAGAGGCACUCCUUCCCAGGCUUCCGAGUGCAACAUGCCAACCAUCGAGCUUUCAGUCUACUGCCGCGCUGCCUUUUUGUUGUCCCCGUUCUGGCGUUCUGUGUGCAUAGAACACACCGGAAGAGCAGGCCUCCGAAGCUGCACCCUUGCCUGAGGCUCUGCACCGAGGAGUAGAAGGGCGAUGAAGUUUUUGGGGAGCGCAUCUGCGCGAGUGCUCGCUGUGCACCUUUUCUUCCUAGAGGCGCAACUGCAUGGCAAACAUCUGCACGGCAUCGACUUUGAUCGACUACACCGGAUAAGCUCGAAAUGUUGAGUAACAGAGCAUUUGGUGCCGCCGGCACUGGUCCCACUGCAGGGUACUUUCUUCGUUACUUGUUUUCUGUUAUUUCCAUCGCAUGCUUUAUAUUCAUUGUUAUAGACACAAAUGUUAAUGCUCCUAUUUAUGCUAUCAUUUACAUCAUGUUUUAUUUUAUAUUUCGAAUUAAAAUAAAUCGUAAAAUGCCUAUAAUUCCAACCAGCGCCACCGCUCGAUCUCGAGCUCAGAUUGUAGAUUAGGACACUGUAGAUUAAGAUCUCGAGUCUGCCGCGUGUGUGAUUCUCUUUCAGAGCUAUUCAAGACAAGCUAAUUUUAGAUGGCAUAAUAAGAGUCCUUCUUGCCCAAAACCGGCCUGCAUGUAGAUUUGUUUUUUUUUCUUUAUUUGCAAAGCAACUGCUGUGAUAUUGAUGUUUUUGGUUAAUUUGUUUGUUCAAACACUAACUAUGUACUAGCUUGUACAUACAGACUCGUUCUUCUACAUAUGGCUUGUUAAGUUGUUUGUUUGCCAAGGAUCCGUUUUCCAUCGGUAGAUGGAAUGAACAACUCUAUUGUUGCAUUUGCGAUCUUUUUCUUUGCCUAGGUUCUAUUUUCCGUUCUUGAUGGACAAGUGGAAGUGACUAGCCGCUUGCCUAGUUAUGUCCUCUGUUCUUGAUAGGUACUGAGAUCGUAUCAAAUGCCAAAGCGACUUGUUGUUCACCUAAUUCUGCUCUUAUCAUCGUCCUGCUCGUGUCCAUAUGCAGUCUAAGGUUCACGCUAUGUUCUCUUUGCUAAGUUACCUCCAUCACGAUUUGUUUGCAGUGGCGAGCAUGUAAAACGAUCAAGAAAUUUAUUUUUAUGCAACACGUUUGGGAGAUCCUACUACCUCAACUAUUCACUGGAGAAGAAACAUAAGUCCCAGAAGAAUGGGAAACUGACGAGCUGGUGCCUCCUGUUUUGCGCGCAAGCAAGCGGUGCCCACCUCCAGUAAUCAUCGCAGCCGGGUCUCCCCAAUCCGAGCCCAGCAGCCCCCUCUUCUGUUCGGGCGCUGACGAUACAAAUAAUCCCACUUGGUAUGUGUUUUGGGAGAGCUCUGCCGGAAUACGAGUGCUUCCAUUAUACAUAAUCAGUUUCAGACCUACCCCAUGUUACAAGAGGACAGGGUUCCAGUCACAAGAAAGUAAGCUUCGAUGUGUAGAUCGAUACAGAGGGCUCUGCAAAUGACCAAGUGUGAUAACUUAUUACAAGAAUUGAAGAAAGUAUAGUCUUUUGUGGGUGUUUCGCAGCCACAGGUGAACAACAAACGAGAGGUGUGCACCCUUUUUGCUUCUUUCAUUUGUUUCCGAUUCUAACAUGUAGCUUCCUGACCAGCAAGUUCCAUUCUCGUUUCUGUUUCAAUAUAGUAAAGCUUUAGCCUGUAGUUCUCAUCCAUUUCUGAACCAGUUUGAAAACCGUGUAAACUUUCCUGGAGUCAAACAAUUACUAAUCGCCUAUGGCACGGCGCUUUCUAGAACACUGUCCAGAUCUCAACAUUUAUCAUUUACUCCUGACGAAAAGAAUGGUAUAUAUGGUUGCUAAUAGGUUUCAUUCGACAAAAGAUUCGAAAUAUCACACGGAUAUAAUUCUACUAGUUAGGAUCGUGGCAAAACAAAACGAUGGCAAGCAAAAUCUCAUUUCAAUUUUAUGAUAUCAUCAAUAAGCAUCUGGUCCUUCGGUGCCUAUGCAAAAAUUCAGAGAACCCUUUACAUCUGAUUACUGAACAUAAGGAGAAAAGCAUGGGCCUUUACAAUACUUGAACUCUUGCAGUUCAAAACACACUGUAAUCUGACAGUGCGCCUGAUAUAACUCACAACUGACAAACUUCAUAUACACACUUACGAACGCCUCAUCACAUUUGACAGAGAGAGAAAUGGCUUGAACGUCAGAACUAAACCAAUAACGGAUACCAUGUUUAGCAUCAGGAACAGGAUCUGAUCACCUGCAUUUUGUGUAAGUGAAAAAAUAUAUGCAUUUAGUUUUAUGUUUAGCUUCCUAUCAUUCUAAGGUACGGCAAAUGGCAAAAAUGGAGGAGCCAGGUAUAUGCUGUUUACCUGGUAAGAACAGUCCACUUAAGUGCUUCUGAGCCCAUGAAAACCUGUAAAAAGGCAAGAAAACAAGUUAAGGCCCCGUCUGGAUCGCAGGAUUUCCAAAGGAAUUCUAAAGGAAUUCCAUUCCUAUGUUUUGAUGACGUCAUAUGCCGUUUGGAACGAAGGAACGCAGCUCGCCGUUCCUAUGGAAAGGGUUCAUUUCCUUCGCAAAACGCAGGAACUAAAGAAUCCACUCCAAACCAAUGUUUUUCUUGAAGCUUGAGAUGAAGAAGAGAGAGAAGGGAGAGCACAGGCGUGGGCGAGGCGGAAAACUGGUCGGAGACUCGAACCGCUGCGCCGCACAUUCCUUCGGCGCCGGCAAGGCCCGCCGUACAGCGGAGCCAGCCUAUGCGCCGCCGGGACGUCGCGCUGCGGAGUCCUUCUUCUUCCCUUUGCUCUUUCUGCUGUCGCUCUCUAGCUAGGUAGUGUCGCUGACGCUGCGGAGGUGAAGAAGCUAGCGACAUGCCUGUGGCUAGGAAGAAGGUAGGACGGAGGAGAUAAGGAUAUGAGUAAUUUUUUCUUCUCUCUCGUGUAUAGCUCCCGCUCGUGACCGUCCACAGGUUCUCAUGAUUGCUCCCUUCUGGAUGGGGCCCAUAAUGCAAAGCCACCGCAUUAAAAAACCAUCUAAUUAAUUUGGUAAUUAAUCCAUAAAUAUAUUUUAUUAAUUUACUAUAGCUUUAGUGGAUUCCUGUGUUCCAAACGCCCCCAUUCCAUCAUAGUUUUUCAUUCUUCUGUUUUUCACCACGUUCUCCUUCCAUUCCUGUGUUUUUUUCCUUUCCUAUAUUUUCAAUUUUUUCAUUCCAAACAGGCCCUAAAUGAAGUUAAUUAUUAAUAUUAUUGUUAUGGUGGGAAACAGUUGAUUUCUUGCCAUAAAAGACAAAAAAACAACAAUACUUACAGAAUUCCUGCUGCUGCUGGAGCUACAGCUUUGAACAUUGACAUCAGAGUCACAGAGAUGCCAUUUGCAACCCCUCUCUGUUCUUGUGUCUGCACAUGUUUGGUCAGAGAAGUCAGAGUCUAGAAAAAUGAUAGUGCAAAUGUAUUGACACGUAUGAGGUUAUUAGACAGAAGUGAUGCGUACCACUGCAGUGUUUUGCAGAAUGUUGCACGCAACAGUGAUAGUAGCCUGUUUUGGCCAAAGAAUACAUCAGAAUUGAUUUGUAACAAAAUUCCCGUUUGAAAUGACAACUUAUAUUUGCAAAAGAAGAUAAUUGCACAUUAUUCGAGAAUUCACUAAAUCAAUGCUCGUUUACAUCAGCACAGAUGAUAUUCAACUUUUUCCUAUUCUAGUUGCCAUUGGCGAUAAAAGAAACCAUAGAAACUUUUUCCCUCAUGCCAGAAAGAGAGCUGCCCAUCAUUGUAUUAAGAUGGAACAAAAGAUGGUCCAUACAAAAUCAAAAGCCUGAAAAAUUAAAAAACAAAGAAAAAGAAAAGGGACCAACAUGGCCCGGCAAACUUGUUGGCAGAAACUGGACUUACAGCAAACAUGUUCUUCAAAAGCGAUGCUAUGUUGAGAAGUAUCUUGAGCUCCAGCCCUUGUAGGUUGGCCAUGAAGGGAUAUGUUGCAAGGAGAAGUAUGGAUAAGACCUACAAAUCAAACAUACAUUUGAAUUUGGUACUAGAAAUAAUAAUUCCUAGUACUAAACACUGAUUUGAAUUCAGUACGGGCAAGGAUAAAUUAGAUUGAGUAAGUAUCUUGAUAAAUCUGGUGAUUCGCUUCAAUAUACCUCUUUUAGAAAAAAUUUACACAAGGAGCACCUCUUCAGUUUCCAUAAAAAAGAAUAAAUCAAUAUUCUCCCUAAUAUUAAAUAUAUAUAUAUAUAUAUCUAAUAAUUGUGAUUUGAUUCAUUUUUGUUCAGUUGAUACCUAUUUGUUUCCCCACAUAUUAUAAACUAUUUUUUAAUGAUUCUAAAUUCUUUUACAAGAGUGUAAAGAAGCGAACCCCACAAUGAUGCAUUUGUUACAUACCGCUGCAGGACGAAAUGGUUUGAUUGGUCCAAAAUACUUGGCAAGGAAAGGAUAAAUUGCAAGUUGAUAUACCAGAAUACCAAAACCUAAACAAAAAAUAAAUGAAAUUGUCAUCAUAAAUAAUUCAAUGGCAAUGCUAACAGGAAGUGGUAAAGAUGAAUGCUAUGCAUGUGGUGAUUUGAUUGUGCUUCUCAUAUUCAAUAAUCAUUGGCUUCAAACUUGGAAAAAAUAAUACAUACCUGAGAUGGCCAGCACAGUUCCAACAUCCUGGGAUGUCAAACUCAGGCCCCGAAAUUUUCUGCUGCUAACUGACCAAAGUGAAAAUAUCUGAAGAUAAUUUUUACACAACAUAUUAGCAUCCCCACGUGCAGUUUUUUUUUUUUUGAAACUUCACGUGCAGCUUUUUAGAAGUUAUUUCAAGGGCAAGGGUGAAAAUGUCUUCUUCUAUUAAUUUUUAUUGCAGAAGCUGAAAAGAGGAUAUAGAUUACCUCAAGAUAAGCUGUGUCAUGGAGAGAAAAGAUACAGUAGAGGGUUACUGCUGACAUCAAUUGCCAGUUUUUUAGCAGACUCUUUGUAGAUUCACCUCUAGAUUCUUUAGCAUUUCCAGCUUCUAACUUGGAGUCACCAGCUUGUGCCUCCAGUUCAUCAAUAGCUUCUACUUUGUCAUCAUUGUGAAAGUGCAGUGUUUCCUGACAAAACGGGAUAAAAUCCUGAGAAACUUUCUCAAGAUCUUUAGGAAGUUUCGAAAUAAAUGUUUUUUUGGUGCAAGUACAAAAAAGAACUGAAUGGAGGCUUAUGAGUCCAAAUAUUCAUUCAUUUUCUUGGAAGGAUGUAGCUAGUUGGAUUUUCAAGGGACAAAUCAAAAGGGAGAUGAGGUGGUGUACCGGAAGCCAAAUGCAUGCAAUACAAGAUCCUGCUGCUAGUACCGAUAUGACGAAGCAAGGGAGGAAGUAUGGAAACCUGAAAAUAGAUGCAAAUUUCGAAGGUUUAUCUAGGCUGAAAGCCACAGAAAAUUACAUAAUAGUACAAGUAUGAUAAAAAAAUUACCUCCCAAAUAUGGACUCUUCAGAGAAAAGAUUUGGGUACUUUUUCGCAGGCUAAUAAAGGAUAGAGUAUAGAUAAUGUUAGUCAUAUAUUUAUGUAUAUCUUCUUUAUUAGUACACUAUUAGAUGCAAAUCUUCUGCAUGUUUAGAUUGAAAUUAUCCUAAAAAUAUAUUUAUACCAACUUUGUUCCAUAUAUAUUCUCUAUUCUUACAAUCUAGUUGGAUGAAAAUGUUCAGCUUCAGCUUGGAUUAUUUUUCUUUUGGCAUAACAGGACAGCUAUCCUCUUUUGUAUAUGCAUUAGGGAUGAGAUUCUGAAGAAGAUGUAUAUGUAUUAGGGAUGAGAUCUGAAGAAGAGAUGCAUGAUGCAGGCUAUGCAAGAGUCCUCUUGAUAAUUGCUCUUGCAAAUUUAACUUCUCUUGCUAUAAUGCUCACCUGUGCAAGAAAGCCUCCAAUAGCAGGUCCAAUAACAAGGGCGAUCGCUCGUGAUGAUGUAACCUAGGACAUGAUGUUAGACGUCAGUUAGCUACAAAUAAAAAUAAACAUUACAAACUGAAUUUGCUCGAGGAAGAAGUUGAACACAAAAAAAAGGGGUCGCUCUUACAAGAGAGAUUCCUAGAGCUUGGUGCUCUUUCCUGCAGACUUCUGAAGCAUAGGCCUAGAAAAUACAGAUGCAAGCAACCAUGAGAAUGUAAGACCUAAUAUCACUUGAUCAUUGGACCAGCCAUGCAUCCACACUGUGAGUUACCUUGAUUGGUCCCAGUAUGCCACAGAGCAAUCCAAGUAAUCCCCUAGUUACAAUUGCCAUCCAGUAAGUUGUACUCAGGCCAAAGAGUGUGUUAAACACAACCCUGAAAGAACAAUCAAAAUAAGUUUCACUUCAGUCCUGUUUAACUGAGUUCGAAGUAUGUCUCAUAAUGGGCCCGAAUGUUCCCUACACAGAGAGGAUGCUGAUCACGAUGCAUGGCUUCCUCCCGUACUUGUCAGCAAACAUGCCCCAUGGCACAGCACUGAUGGUUCUUCCAAGGAAAUAAGUUGCCCCUGAAAGAUUAAUGAAAUAUAAUCGGUAAUACAAUAAAGUGCACUGACAUAAACCAUAGUCAAUGAAGAUAACAGCAGGUUUACCCAAUUAUUCGGUGAAAAUGCAUAUUCAGCUUUAUGAGAAAUAUUAUACAUGUAUACAAAACUAAGCCUUGAAAUCUCAAUCAUGACAAAAGACGCUACUCACCAACAAAACCAGCAUAGAACCCAAUGUCUUGCUCUUCUUUUGCGACUUUCAAGUCCCUGAUCUGUUGGAUUGCAACACAUUAAUAAUUCGGUAGCCAUUGUAUUUUAAAAUACUGAAUGUUGCAAGUGUUUGUCAUGUUAACAGAGUUAAAGCUUGGUAUUUUUAACAUUUGGACAUACCAUGAAGUACAGAUAAGGGAACAGUGACUGGAUCGGCAGAGCUGGAAAAGGAAAACAUGGGGGGAUUAGUCACUGAACAGGAAAAAAACUGAUAAGAAAUUAAAACAGACAUAUACUUUGGACAGUAUAAGUGGUCCCAGAAUAAAGGAUAAUGCUUUUCAAUAUUAAAAAAGCAGCAGCACUUAUUUAGGCAGCGCUAAUAAAGAACAGAUGAGACUGUCAGGAUGAGAAAUCAGUCCUAUUCAUACUGAAUCCCAUGGCCUAUCUACAUUAGUUUUCUACAGUGAGCGACGGUCACCGCGAGCGAGCUGUUUCUUCAGAAGACGACGAUCUGAUAUCGAGAUCAAGUCCCACGUCCCAUAUGCAUCCAUGUGCGUGUAGAAGAGACGACGCAUGGGCAUUCAUACCGGCGCAUAGGCAGGCGAUCCAGAUGUAGAGGAAGUCCGCGUACGGUAUCCGGUCAGUGGCCUGCACCCUCCUCUGCUGCCGGCACCCGGGGCAGCGCUCGCGCCACGGCGGCGCCACCCCGUCCCCGACGAGCAGCGGCGCGCCCCCGCCGCCGCCGACACGGGUGCCGGUCAUGGUCGUCUGGUGGACAGCAGGAACUGGACAACGACGACGUCGGUGAGGGCCGCGGUGGUGCGCGUGUAGGACAUGCUCUUUGGGCAACGGGUGCUGUGAUGCGUUACUAGGAAAACGCUGGCCUCUGGAGCUGCGUUCCCUCCCCUGUUUCCGGGGUUUUGUCUUUGGUUUGGCUAAAUUUAGGAGGCGGGAUCAAAAGGGGUUGGCUGGGUCUCUGUCCCGUCGGAAACGGCUUCAAUGCCAGUACAUUCGCAAGCACGAUGAUGGAUUCACUGUCCCCCGAUAUUUUUCUUUUCUGUUUCUGUUACUUUUCAAAAUAGCUGAUGUACUCCUCCGUUUCAAAAUGUAGACUGUUGCUAUGCAUCUAGACGACUAUUCGUCUAGAUAUAACUUUAUAUUUAGGUGCAUAGCAAUGUCUAUAUAUCUAAAAAAAGUUAAAAUGACCUUCGUUUUGAAACGGAUGGAGCACCAUUUUGAGUCUGUAAAUUUAUCAAUUGUUUUAGUUGUAUUAGUUUAAGGUCCUACAUAAUUAAGAACACGCGACAAAUUAACAAGGACCGCUAGCCAAGUUCUAGCCAAGUUCACUUAUUACGUAUGUAUGACUAUCAACAACGUGGAAUAAAGAAACAUCAGCGAAACUAAGGGGAUGUUUGGAAGCGUAUAUUUACGUAUCUAUUAAACCUAAUUAAUUUAUAAUUAGCACAUAUUUACCGUAGCAUUACAUGGUCAAAUUAUGGACUAUUAGGCUUAAUAGAUUCUACUUGCGAAUUAGCCUUCAUUUAUACCAUUGAUUUUGUAAUUAAUCUAUAUUUAGUUAGGGGGUGUUUGGAUCUUUAGUCCGGACUAAAAUUCAUGUCACAUUGGAUAUUCGGAGGCUAAUUAGAAGGACUAAACAUGAGCUAAUUAUAAAACUAAUUACACAGAUGGAGGCUAAUUCGCGAUACGAAUCUGUUAAGCCUAAUUAAUCCGCGAAAAGUUUCGCGUGUAGUUCCCGAUCACUAGCCUAUAUUACUGUAGCAAAUCAUGGAUCAAAUCAUGGAAUAAUUAGGCUUAAUAGAUUCGUCUCGCAAAUUAGCCUCCAUCUGUGUAAUUGGUUUUGUAAUUAGUCUAUAUUUAAUAUUUCUAAUUAGUAUCUAACAUAUUUAAUAUUACACAAAAUUUUAGAAGUAUCUCGAUACGAGAGCGACUGGACUUCGAUAUGACAGCGACUGCGUCCUUGUUUACUUCCCUCCAAACUUCCAACUUUGACACUAUGCAAAAAGAAGAUUCCCCAUCACAUCAAACUUGCGGUACAUGCAUGGAGUACUAAAUGUAGACGAAAUUAAAAACUAAUUACACAGUUUUGUUGUACUUUGCGAGACGAAUCUUUUGAGCCUAAUUAGUCAAUAUUUGGACAAUAAUUUACAAAUACAAACGAAACGCUACGGUGUCGCAUUUAUGGCAAAAUGCCAAUUUUGCAACUCCCAACUUGGGAAGUAAACAAGGCCUGGACUUCGGUUCCCGCAGCAGGUAGCCGUCAACAGCGCUAGAGUUGAUGCUGGUACUGCAGCCACAGGUGACGACUCCCGGGCCCCUUGCACCGGGACGGAGCGGAGAGGGUCGGCUUCGAUUUUUGGCGUACCAACCCAAGUUGUGAGGUUGUGACGGCAGGACAGGACGGAGGAGACCAGACGCAUCGGCUGCUCCAGGGUCCAGGCCGAUGCUUGGUCCGGCCGCCACCAGCGGCCGGCCGGCCGGACAGGAGCGGGGCGGAUGUAACUCCCGCGAAGCUUCUUGGCCUUGCAGGUUAAUGGCUGGUUUUACUUCUCCGGCAGUUUCUCCGGACUUUUAUUACUGCCGCCGUACGUACGUACGGGAUCAUCUGGAUGGACCAAAGCUACCGUCAUUCGGAUCUCACGUUCGCGAUUAAUUUGCAUUCUAAUACAAAAUUGUUAGUUCGCUAACCCACUCAAGUCGUCAUCGGUGCACGCGUGCAGCACGGGUGGGUGGAUAGAUUGGGAUGUAUAUAGACACACGUAUAUACGCGAGUGCUCUACAGUACACGAACACGUACGUACCCACCCGAGGGUGGUGCAUGUGGGUGGUGUUACGUCUGGCGCUACAGCUAGCGUGCCGCGCGCCCACCGAAGAACCUAGGAGAGGAAAAAACGUAACGCCAGGAACAGUCGAGAGAGAUCGAAAUAAGGGUGUGCGAACGACGACUGACCGGCCACGAGGCAGACGACCCAGAUGUACAGGAAGUUGCGGUAGGGGAUGCCGGCCCUGGCCUUGUUCGCCUCCUCCACCCGGCACCCGGGGCACCCCUCGCGGCACCUCCUCUCCCCCGCCGCCGCCAGCAGCGGCGCCGCCGCUGUACCGUCCUCGCCGCCGGCCAUUCCGAGACCGUAACUGCACCCUCUCUCCCCCUCUGGCCUUGAAGAUGUCAAGUCCGUCCUAUAGCUAGCUAAUGCAGCGCAAGGACAAGGAGUAGGGGCGUGCCCGUUCUUAUAGACAAGACGAGGUGUGAGACCGUACGUGACGUGUGCCGGAGCUAAGCGUGAACGGCCAAAAAGGCGUUUGCUCCUUGCUUCGCUAACGCGCGCCACACGACCGAUCAGAGGGUUAACUCUCGUUUAACUGCUGUAUUUGGAUCGGGCAAAACCGCAAAAAGCUAGCUAGCUGUGGAAACAGCUCUUGACGAACCCAAAACGACCAGGGGUCUGAUCGGUUCGCUGCAUGCCCCCCGUCCAGGCUCCCGGGAUGCGACCUUGGUUACCUGCACAAGCGCUUGGGCCAGGCUCUGGUGACGCAACCGUACCGCUCGAGCCAGGGUCGCUGGAAACGUAGAAAUCGGGCAUCUGCAUCAAAUUGAAGGCUGAGCGAUCGAGCGAGGCGUGUGCAAGACCGCAGCCACUUAUUCCACCCCUGUACAGCAGCGGCGUAGCUGCACAUGCCUGACCAAACAGCAACGCACGCGGACGCGCGGCCCUAUAGCUACCACAGCCACACACCACACGACCGUCCCUGUUGCUCAUCGCCGUGCUCAGGGGGUAUUUGGAUUGUUGAAUUAACUUUUAGUUCGAGCCAUAUCGGAUGUUUAGAUACCAAUUAGAAGGACUAAACGUGAACUAAUUAUAAAACUAAUUGUAUAAACCGUGGCUAAUUCGCUAGACGAAUCUAUUAAGCUUAAUUAAUUCAUGAUUAGUAGUAUCACAUGAUCAAUCAUGGACUAAUUAGAUUUAAUAUAUUUGUCUCGCGAAUUAGCAUUCAUUUAUGCAAUUGAUUUUACAAUUAACCUACAUUUAAUACUUCUAAUUAGUAUAUAAAUAUUGAACGUGACAGGCAAAACUUUAGUCCUAUCUUUCAAACGGAGCCUUAUAACAGCGCCGCUAAGGAUACGAGAGAAGAAUGUCCCGCUAAGAAUACGGGAGAAGAAUGUCACGUUAUGUUGAAAAGGUAGGACAACACGGACAGCGCCACGGCGUCUCGUCGCUGCGUUCGCCAUCGCUUUUGAUGCAACUUGGAUCUCAGAAGAGAGCGACUCCGCUACCUACCUAGCUAGGCCCGUGCCCCGGCGGUUUCCGGGAAACUUCCCUCGCUCUCUCGCGGCCGUCCGUCCGGCUGGCCGUCCGCCGGGAUAAUAUCACCGGCCGAUCGAGUAGCCGCAGCUGGGCCGGUGUGCCAUAAGAGGCGCGGAAGAAAGUGGAACGGGACUCUUGUCGAAUUGAUAGUGAUGACGGGGGCAAGACGCCGGAGAGAUCGCGAGGCCGGCCGGUGGAACCCGUCGCGCGCGGUAGCAAAGCAUCCUCUCCGCUCCGGCCCGGUCCGACUCCGCUACCUGCCUACCUUGCUAGCUAGGACAGCUCUGUGUCGCGCGACGCGACCGGCCGGCUCGUCGAUGGGGCCGUGUGCGUGGCUUCCGCGAAGCUUCCCCGCGGCCGACCCUUGCCGUCGAUCGCUACCACAGGAAACGUACGGCCGGCCGUACGGGGACGCCGUACCAGCGGGCGCCGUUGCAAGUGGUGCAGCGAGCCUCCCCGCGCGGGCGCUCCGUGCGUGCCCACUGUGCCCAGCGCGACUUCACACGUCCGGGAACGGACGCGCGUAGCCUCCGCGAAGCUUCGGCGUGCAUACCACGCGGACAGUGACAAAAGUACAAGGGGACGAGAUCGAUGGACAGGUGGGCAGGGGUCCGCAUCGCGCACCGGCCAUUAAUACAGGAGCGACAGGCACGAUGUGUGCGGCCGUGCAGAUCCGAUGGCCCCCGCGCGGCUUCGAAUGGAAUGUGACAGUACGAUACUUGGAACAGAGACUAUUGAGGAAGACGUACAACGCCAUCUUGACCAGCACAAGAACACGUCACGCCACCACACAUUACUAAUCAUGUUUAUUUUAGAUUAUAAUCCAUCUAGAUCAUUAGUCACGGGUACUAUAGUUAAAAAAUCCUUUAGAGAUUAUUAUAGUACCACAAAUAAUCUCAAAUAAUCUAUCUUAUUUGUGGUCUAAAAUGAUCACAUGACGAUCUUUUACUCUACUACUCAUGAACCAUAAUCCAGCUUAUAUAAUCUAUGAGGAACCUAGGUCAGUGGCGAGAGACGAGACCGGCUCGGCUGAUAAGGCGCUGGUAGAUAAUCUGGCACAGUAUGAAGGAACUAAAACUGUUGCGCCGUAGCAUGAAUACGUGGUGCAUGGUAUAAGUUCAAGAUUAUCUUUUUAGAAAAAAUUCGUGUAAACGGAUUCAGCCGGAAGUUUGGAUGUGACUAAGAGUAUUUUUGGGACUCCUCUGCUCCACAUUUUUCAGCUUCACUCCUCGAUCUUCCUACCAAACACGUCCAUCCGGAAAAAAAAUGAAGUUAAGAGCUACAUCUAUAUUUUUUUAGCACCUCAAGAGGUGCUCCUGAAAUGCAGUUUUAAAUCUUCUCUUGAAGCUGUGGGAUAAUUGUCCCACCAUGCUACAGUUCAUGUAGUUUACGUACCGGUUCGCUCGCGGGAAAAAGAAAAAUAGGCCCGUCCGAGUUCCCAUCUUCGUCUUCCUCGUGCCAUAGCCGACCACGCCGUCGCUCGCUUGCCGGGGCUGCUCCUCCUCCACCGCCCGUCGGUGCCGCGCCGGCGCCUGUGUCCGCCGCGCCCAGGGCCGCGUCGUCGCACCUUCGCCGGGGCCGCGUUGUUGCCGCUCGUCGGACGGGGCCUCGCGCACCCCCGCUGCCCGCUGGAGGCACGGCGCGGGGAGGUCGACGCCAGGGCAGCAGCGAGGCCGCACCGCGUGCAGUGCUGCUCGCCGAGUCCGCGGGGCCGCGCCACGCGCGCCUCACGCCGCUCGAUGUACGUAGUCUCUUAACGCUUGCGUCUCCGCCGCCGCUCCCCGGGGCACCGUCGCGCCUCCGCUGCUGGACUCGUCAGGGGUGUGAUACUGAGUACGUCCACUUAGCUAGCUAGCUAUAUGCUCAAGAAUCAUUAGCGUCUUCUGAUGCCUGUCGCACGACGUUAAUUAGCACUAGUAGAGUCUUCUGAAACCACUAGUUAAUUAGUACUAGUACCACCAUACUAGUAGAGAGUCUUCUGAUGCCUGUCGAGUUUUAUCUACGUUGGAGCUAGCAUUAUGUAUUGUGUGUGAUUGAUUUGCUGCGUGCCAGGCUCCUGCCGCUCGGAGGAAGAGCAACGGAGAAAGAGAAGGGAGAAAAGAUGAGAAUCACAAAGAAGGGGGAGAGCAGCGGGAAAAAGCGGAGAGGAUGACUCGUGGGACCAAUUUACAAGAGUAAAACAGACUAUUACCACCUAAAUCCUACAUUUUUAUAGCUGAAGUCACGCUGUUAGCCAAGCUCCACAUUUUCUGGAGUUGGCGGAGUGGAGCUGCAGAAAAAUGAAGUUAGUGGAGCAGAGCUAUUUUUUCUGGAGCGGAGCAUACCCAAACAUGCCCUUAGGCCAGAGCUGAUUCCUGCCAAGUAGCUUUUCAGAGAGAAGUGAUUAUUUGUUGAUUCUGUGAAGUGAUUUUCUGAAAUGAACUAAGAGGCUGAAAAAAGUAGCUUCUCCUGAUUCUGUGAAGUGAUUCCCCAUCCUGAUUUGAAGAGUUUGAAGGGUUAGAGAAGUGAUUAUCGGCUGAUUUUGUGAAGUGAUUGUCUGAAAUAAACUAAGAGGCUGGAAGUUGAGUUUCUCCUGAUUAUGUGAAGUGAUUCUCCAUCCUGAUUUGAAGAGUUAGAGAAGUGAUUAUCUGCUGAUUCUGUGAAGUGAUUCUCUGAAAUGAACUAAGAGGCUGGGAGCUAAAAAAAUAGCUUCUCCUGAUCCUAUGAAGUGAUUCUCCUUCUCCAUCCCCAUUUAAAGAGUUUGAGAAGUUAUUAUCUGCUGAUUCUGUGAAGUGGUUAUCUGAAAUGAACUAAGAAGCUGGAAGCUAGAAAAAGUAGCUUCUCCUGAUUCUGAAGUGAUUCUCCAUCCUGAUUUGAAGAGUUUGAAGAGUUUAUGCUAGAGAAUCAAAGAGGAUCACUUUCAGCUACAGAAUCACUUCUCUUAGAGAGUAAGCUUCCAUAGAGAAUCAGAAUUAGAUGAAGCUCUACCAAACAGAUCUAAGGAUUAUUCCAACAUUCUAUAGAAUAUAGCAUAUAGCAUACAAUUCUAUAGUAUUAAACUUAUAUUUAAAAAUAUUUCUGCAUGACAUCGAUUACCUUACAGUUAUGGCUAAUAUAAUUUAUAGAUGCUAAUAACUAAUAUAAUUUAUAGAUGCUACUAGUAGUCAAACAGUCUUAAAGACCGCCAGGUUAAUGGGAGACUUGCAUCUUAAACAAAAGAGGUUAAGAGGAGAGGGGAGAGUAGCGUGCUCGACCACGACCUAUAAUAAAUGUCUCAAAAAAAAAAACCCUACAAUAACGGGAGUGCAUACGUGUUGUGAGAUUUCUUUUUCGCGGCCAAUUCCAUCCUUGUCCCUGAAGCCUAGUCUGGAGCCAUCUGAAGUCUCUAUUGACGUUUUGGCACUGGCCGGCGGCGGGCGCAGAUCCCCAACCACGAGUCACAGACCGGACACAAGAUGACAGCGAAACGAAGAGACUAUUCCAAGGGCAAGCAACAAGCUGGCAAGGAACUGAGAGCUGCAGCUCCGCCGGGGACCGGGAAGCUGCCAUACCGCACGACGACGUACGUGUCCUCUAGCACGCAGCGUGACAGUGCCACACUGCCACUGCCACGGCAUCGCCCCCUUACGUCCUUCUCGUAAUGAAGGUACGGAAAGAGAGUACGGUAAAGUUUAGUCUUAAGUGACAUCAAAUUUUUUAGACUAAUUAAGAGAAUUAAAUAUGAGUUAAUUAUAAAACUAAUUACAUAUAUGGACUAAUUUGCGAGAUGAAUUUAUUAAACCUAAUUAAUUCAUGAUUAGCAUAUAUUUAGGUAGCAUCACAUUGUCAAAUCACGGACUAAUUAGGCUUAAUAGAUUCAUCUCGCAAUUUAACCUCCAUCUAUGCAAUUAAUUUUAUAAUUAGUCUAUAUUUAAUACUUCUAAUUAGUAUCUCAACAUUCGAUGUGACAGGAACUUUAGUCCGAACUAAAGAACCAAACACCCCCUAGUUGCUAAAGUUUAGCCCUGUCACAUCGAAUGUUCGAAUGCUAAUUAGGAGGAUUAAAUAUGAGCUAAUUAUAAAAUUAAUUGCAGAACCCCUAGGCUAAUUCGCGAGACGAAUCUAUUAAACCUAAUUAAUCCAUCAUUAGCAAAUAGUUACUGUAGCACCACAUUAUCGAAUGAACUAAUUAUGCUUAAUAGAUUCGUCUCACGAAUUAAACUCCAUCUGUAUAAUUAGUUUUGUAAUUAGACUAUAUUUACUUCUAAUUAGUAUUAAACAUCCGAUGUGAUAGGCCUAAACUUUAGCCCCUUUAACCAAACACCCCAAAAAGUCAGUUCUGAGUUCUGGCUAGCUUCGGUAGACCGUGACUAUCAUUAAUUCCUUAAUUCACUGGGAUAUACUUUAGUACUCACUGUUUCUAAUACUCGUAAUAUUCUAAUACUCUAGUACUUGUAGUCCUAACGCUCUCUUUGUUCGUCCCAGGGUUAAGGAGUAAUUAAUUUAAUCACUCUCUACCAGCCGUUUCUUCAGGCUUCCACUGCACAUCCAGAUUGUCCAACAAAGGCUAUUACGCGUCCUUUAGGAAAAACGAAAAGAUGGAACAUAACUGAUGCUAAUGUACAAGCAAAUUAAAGUGCGUGGUUUCCAGUUUGUCCUUUGCACCCUUUUCACUUCGUCAACUCGAUCAUUCCCGGGCCAUUCACGGCAUGGACGAUGCACGCACGCGCAUCACCGGCCAAGAAUAGAAUACCUCAGCACUUUAGGCUAAUGCGCGAACGGACAGCGCAUGAGAGAGAGAGAGAGCACUGGAAGAAGAAGAAGAAGCCGGGGAAUGAACUCACCGGCGACGAGGCAGACGAGCCAAAUGUAGAAGAAGUUGAGGAGGGGGACGCCGGUCUUGCCCUUGUUCGCCUCGUCCAGCCGGCACCCGGGGCAACCCUCGUGGUAGUGCUUCUUCGUCGUCGUCUCCGCCGCCCUCGGCAGCAGCAGCGGCGCCGACACCUCACCGGCCUCGCCGUCGGCCAUUUUGACGCCCUCGCAGCUAAGACUACUAGACUGGAGUGGUGGUGGCAAGCUAGUUGUAGUAUGCCGCUCCUAUUUCCGUGUCCUGUUGUUCGGAGGAGGCGAUGCUCUUUUUUUAUAGACAGGCACACCGGUGCAAGUGCAACGUGCAAGUAGGCCGCCUGUCUCCCCCCUCUGCCACGUGCUCACGGCCACGCGUUAGGCUCUCAGACGGUCUCUGCAUUGACCAGUGCAGUAGUUACUCCUAGGCAACACAACCCCCUCCGUAAAUCGUAACAUUAUUAUUUACACGCGUGCAUGCAACGCUAAAAAAAAGUGGGACUUGGACUUCGCAGCCGGGACUUGGGCUGUGCUAAGCACGACAUUUUUGGAACGACCCAAAUCACGGCACGGCACGAUAAAUUUUAGAUCGUAUCGGUACAACAUGAAUGUAAGGACCGUGCCAUUCGUAUAAUCUCAGCAUGACGGGUGGCAUGAUACGGCACGUAUCUUGGACCGUGCUUGGGCCGGCACGAAAAUAGCCCAUUAGCACAUACGUUAUAUCAUCCUAACAUCAUUUGUUCUAUGUGUUAUAUAGCCUGACAUAACUCUUAUCAUAGAAGGAAACCACAAAAUCUACCUUACAUGUAUGGAAUGGUGAUAAUGAUCAUUCAUAACGUAAUAAUGUUACAUUCUCAUAUGGCCAAAGGUAGUCAUAGCAUUUACCUACAACAUUUAUAUAAUAUCGUUUGUUUCCUAUAUUAAUUUAGAAAUUAUUCUCUACGUAUGAGAACAAAAGUAUAUGCAAACAAAUGAGAACCAAUAAAAACCAAACACAUGUAUUACGAGGAUCGUGCUUGUGCUGACACAGCACGAAAACAUGCCGGCGUGCUACAGACCGUGCUUGUGCUGGCACAGCAUGAAAACGUGCCGGCGUGCCACAGAUCGGGCUUGAGCUUAGUAAAAGACUUGACGUGCCAUGCUGACGCGGCACGAUGUGCCUAGCGUGCUUAGAAGUUUAGGCACGAUGUGGCACAAGCUAGAGAGCACCAGCCUCCCGUGUGCCGCAGACCUGCAGUAUUGGCGGCAUCACUAUCUACCUACCAAAUAAUAAAAAAAAGUUGUUCAAGAAAGGUAAAAAGACGUCAGUUCAGUGCUUGACGAAGAAAGAAGCAUCUGAACUUUUUCGUUUGUUUAUUCCAUGGGCGUCGAUGCUCGUACAUGCGCUGCUCCCGUUUCUUUUGGCACUGGCAUUAGUGAGCAUUUAGUAGCUGCAGUCAUGUCUAAACUCUCUCUAUUUGGGGCAUCACUAUUCGGAGCUGACACCGUGGGCCGCCAUGGCAUCACCGGAGCCGGAGCAACGCUGGAGCAUGGGGCGGGUGGUGCUGGGCUUCCUGCUCCAAGAAUCGACCCACAACGCUUGAGGCUUUGAGGGUGUGCAAACUACGGACACAAGACUCUGUCAUAGGCGAUAUCUGUUCGUGGAGUCGAGAAUGCUACCACCAAGGAGGCAGCAAGCCAGCAACAACGGCUGAGGAUUGUGGCAGAAGCUGCGAACUCCAGGAAAAGCCAGGAGAUCACCCCAUCCACGCUAGGAUCUGCUCCCAGCCUCGUCGGAGAUGGUGAGAGCGACGACGAAGGGCCGUGAUGCGUCAGCAGCAAAUUAGCAUAGGAAACCAAUCUGUCAGAGGAGAAAGAGGACUUUUAGUAACUAAUACCGCUACCUGACAACACCAAACAAAGAUAAUGUUGGUGUUUUGUGAUAUUAUUAUCGUUUACAUUUCUCAACCACAUACAAGACUAUGUCUUCAAGUGUGCAAGAGACAACCCCAGUUCACUAUCAAAAUCAUUCAACAAACCUUGCCCUGGGAUCACCAAACGUGAUUGAUGGAUUGGCAAUCUGGGAAAAGGAGUUCUAAUGGAUUGGCAAUCUGGGAAAAGGAGUUCUAAGGCCUUAUUUGUUUGGAAUUAUAAUCUACCUAAAUUAUAUAAUUUGGAUUAUGAGUCAUUGGUACUAUGGUAAAAUAUCACUUUAGGAUCACAUAUAAUCUGCGUAGCUUAUUUCAGAUUAUAUGUGGUUCCUAGCAGUUCCAUGACGAUUUUUUACUCUCUUACCUUAACUAUAAUCUAGCUUAUAUAAUUUAGGAGGGAAACGAACACACCCUGAACCAAAUGCAUCUCGGCAGCACGAUCACGGUCAUCGCAUGCAUUAAUGCAAUCGCUUUCUUCCCACCAUUAGCCAACAAACUGUAGCCACCACGUCUUAUUUGUCUGAUCAUCGCCAAUCCUCCUGGCCACUUAUCACUCGCCAGCAACAGCUCAAGGUUCUCAAGUAGUGUGGCCGGUGAGCUGAGACACUGGCAUGCGCCAAGGUCGCAAAAAUUCGAUAAGCACCGACUAUGAGCAGGCAGAGCAGGAGCAGCGCAGAAGCCAGAGGAGAGGACCAUUGGUCACGGUGAUGACGUGCCAUCCUUUGGGGUCCACUACGCACUAAUGUGAUACCAACCUGCCAACAAAAUGUUGGCGUUCCAACACUGCCCUCUAUUUACCUGCUGCCCUGCCAAGUAGCGAUGGCUUGUUUGGUUAGAUUGGAGCUGCGAUGAUUGGAGCCUUGUUGGAGUAGCACAAAUAGGUGGUCAAUUUGCUGAGAACGUUGAUGAGACAAAAUGUUUUUUAGGCUUGGUGCGAGGUACAAAAUGGGAUCUCCAAAUAACCAAAAUAUAUUUGGAUUUUAUUAUAUAACUUCAGGUAUUUUGCAAUACUAACAACUGACAUCAUCGUAACUUCCUUACUGAUGAAGAAUUGAAGAUAAAGUUCAUGGUAGUAGACAAUAAUAAAGGGGAAAUUUUACUUGUGAUCAAACCUUUUGCAAUGAUGAAGAGUUAACUGGAAUCGAAUCCCGUUUGGUUGGCUUAAAUGUAACGCAAUCUGAUUAUCGAAGAAGAUAACGAAUUUCAUUACAUAUGUUUAGUUGCGGUGAUUUGUAAUCAAUUGAUACUGCAAUCGAAUUCUUUACUAAAUAAUAUUUAUACAAGGUUGUUACCCUCCUCCUCCACCGUAAUCAGAUACAACACCCACACCGUAAUUUGAUUACGUUAUCAGAGUACAACCAAACAAAAAGGGUAAUCACCCAUUCCGCCGCCAAAUACACCGUAAUCCGAUUCUCUUUACGUUUACGUUACCUCAGCACAAACCAAACACUAUCUUCCGUAUUUCUAACUCAGAGCUUUUAUCGUCAAGGCCGAUACGAUUUAGGCAUUCAAGUUUAGUUUUUCAGAUUAAUCGCUGAGGCGCUAGUGCUCACUGUCGAACGACCACCUCACCAAGCGACGGUGUCACGGAAAGAUAGCGACGCCUUGACACGGCCAUGUACGAACCUAACUGGGGAAUAGUGUGUUUCCAGAGGUGGUUAUAAGAUUGAGUUUACAUACAUAUAUGUAAGCAUCUAUAUUUAUACUAUAAUUUUUAAAAAAGAAACUUAUUCAACGCGAUCCAAAUGGAAUGCUUGUGUACAGAUCGAUGUGAACCUAUAACAAGGCAUAGGUCCAACGGAAUUGCGUGUAGGUUGCCUAGAGAUAUGUGAAUAUCGGGAAAGCUAGUCCAGCCAUGUCAUGCUUCAAAGUAAAUGACAAAAUGAGCUAGCGACCGAUAGCCGGGUUCGCAUAUCACCAUCGACGAAGUGCAGGAAGCAGUGCGCCAACAACGACCGGACUGUCGCUGGCAUCAUUGACACGUGCCGCGCGGACGCCGACGGGCUUCACUAUCAAAUCGUUAUUAUAUUGUACACGCCGACGAUGGGCCGGAGAAAAAAUGGCAGGUGGUGGACUGUCCAGAUCUAAAUGCAUUAUUCUUUUAUUGAUGACUCAAACCGGCAAAUUGAGCGUGAGGAGGGGCCAUCUAGUCUGUUUUUUAUUCCCUAAAAAACUCUUCAUUUCGAGUCGGUCUCUGUCUUAACAUAUGUCCUCGUAUUUUCGACUAAGAUCCUUUCAACAGUAUAUGCAUGAUACGUUCAACGACAUGGAGGCGUAUGAUGAUUUUGUCAAUUUCAACAUCUAAAGACCGGCCCACUUACCCGAAAAUGUUGGUAGGGAGAAAGUGCGCCUUUGUGUACCCGAAAUGAAUUUCCGGGUUGAAUCGAGUGUCCACGUACAUGUACGUGAGCAUUACUAUGUUUUAUUUAAAACACUUAUUCAAUGAUCAUGUCGAAAGAAAAAAAAUCAACCAGAAGGGGCACCGCUAAAGAAAACAUCUGUCCUAGCGGCUAAACGGCUAAAACAGAUCUGUGCUGAUGGGUUCUACCAGUAUAAAUGAUUAUUUGCGCUGGUGGAUGCUUAAAAGUCCAUCAGCAAAGAUAAUUUUAGAAAAAAAAACAAAAGCCGGCCGUAGGGGCUCGUCUGUCAUGGCCGCGCCGCCGCCUCAUGUUGUAGCUCACGUCGUCGUAAGCCCCGAGGCAGACCUUCUUCGCUUUAAACUCCACCGCUUGCGCCCACCCCAGUACGCCGCCAUGUACGCAUGGUGACUCGACCUAGGGCUCCGCAUCAUGCGCCAGCCGCGCGGAGCUUCGCAUCGAACUUGAAGGCGACAAUGAGCCUCUGAUGCCUCCUUCCCCAAUCGGAGUCGCCUCUGGGCGCCGAGGUCCGCGUCGAGCUUAGCAACGGCAGAAGCUCGCAGUCGCGCACUAAAGCUGCCCAUGGGUCCACCGCCCACGACUCCACGCCCCCCACACCAGACACCAG
rnacentral:lncRNA from 1 species